rnacentral:lncRNA from 1 species
UUAACUAACCUGCCAUGAGGAUGAUAUUGUAGGGACGGCACCUUUAUUGAUGGCAUCCAAGAACGAUUGCGUAAGACCAGCAAGGAGAGGGCCAGUCAUCAUAGUUGCUCCAACUUGUUUAGGCCUAGUUCGCUCAAAGACGAAUUUUGUCAGAUCAUCCAAACCAGCUCUGAACUCUGGACGCAACCUAUCCAUCUGUAGAAAGCAGUAAACAUCAAAGUUCACAGUAAGGUUCAAAUAAUUGAAGGCCUGCUCCUCCCAUUACCCGCCUCUAUUAUCAACAGUCUUAGUACCAAUAGCAUAGAUGCUUGGCUGGAUUUCACAUAGGAGAAAUUCAAGGAUUUCGUGUUAAAUACGAUAGGUAAUACUUACAUGAAUUUGAUCAAGGCGUUGGAGAUCACUUUCUUUGUUCACUGGCCGCACAAGAGUGAAACAUUCACGAUCCGGGAAGAGGGCUCGAAUGGACUCCCGAAUCUAUAGAAAUGAAGGAUACACAUGCAUAAGCAUUGCUAGUGAAUCAAAUUGGAGCUUUUUUCAUGCGGUACCUCAUUCUUAGCAUGCAUAUCUUUUCCUCCACCUUGCGUUGGCCUCAAGGCUAGUUCAAGGUAGUCACGUGGAGUAAUUUUCCUAUUAUCUUCCGCUAAAUCCAAAUAGAAAUCCUUAAAUACACAAAAAGAAGUUAUUGAUAAUUAGAAAAUCAGAAGUUGAACGAAAAAUUAAAAACACAGUAGACGCAUCUGCAAAGAUUUAAACAAUAUUUAUACUCGCAAUAACCAAACAAAAACUGGAGAAAACUGCCCAAGCUCGGAUGCAGUGGACCUUCCACCAGAAGCCCUAACACGUAUAUGUUUUGUCAUUUCAGUGACAAGUGAUAGACGAUCAAGUGCAGCUUCAUCUAUGCCGCCCAUCUGCAAAUGAAAUGAAAAGACAAAUUACCAAAUUAUUUAGAAUAUAAUUGGAUUCAAUAGAUUUACCGUUUUAUAAGCUGCAAGUAAUGAACGGGUGCAUCAAUUAACAGCUAACACAUAGAGAACAAGACAAAAAGCUCAGCAUGGAACAUGCAUACCUGAUUGUAGAUAAACAUGCUCGAUAAUAAAACAGCCAAAGAAAAUAUUUGGGUACUAUAUGUGCCCUGCAAAUACAAAGUGAAAUACAAACAGCAUUAACAAACAACAAAUAUAUCAAAAAAAAAAAACAGCUAGUUAGGCAUACUGCAACAAAAACAUAGUGGCUCUGAAUUUACAGGGAUACAUACGAUUCUAGACAAAGAAAAUAAAAAAGCAUAGAAGAUGAAGAGUUCCUAAUAAUCGUACAGAUCUCAAGAUAAGUAUCAAAGGACAAUUUAGUUGACUGGGGCUUGAGACGCUAGAUAUUGGAAGAAAUCCAUAUUAACUAACUGAAACAUGAAGUUACACAGAUGGUGCACACCACUCAAAAGAACAUACCAAUGAAGAACCAACAUGAACACUAAUAGACUAAGAAAGAUGGAUUGCAACUAACCGUUUGAUCAUAGGCGUCAAUCCCUUCAGUAUCAAGCAAUAGAAGAUUAUAUUCAGUUCCAUCAAGAGCAGUUCUCUUUAGUGGUGCACUCCACAUCCAAAGGCCCUUAGUGCAAGGUCGAUGAGUGGGAGCCACUUGAAAGCCGCUACUUCUUCCUAAAAGCUAUGAUAAGCAAAAGAUAAAUUGGUUACCAGAUGAUCGUGCCAAGAAAUAACAACUUAAUGCAAAUACUCAUAGAUAACAUUAAUACUGCGAUUUAGUUACAUGGUAAUAUAAAGAACUGCUCAGCAGCAAGCAGAGAGCCUGAUUAAAAGUGACUGACAGCAAAACACUACAAAUUAAGAUACAAAAUGAUAUUGCAUAAACUUGUUUGACCAAUACAAGAAGAGUCAUGUCGGCAAAAUAUUAGUCAAAGUGACAUCUAAAGAUUCUUGAACAAAUGAAUGCUAAACAUGGCAAAUUCAUUAAAACUAUUAUAACAGGAUCAAACAAAUACUUACUCUAACAUGGCCAGGAAAAAAAAAAAAACUGGUCGAGGAUGGAUAACUCUAUAUCACUAACAUAAGCUAAUUAAGAACAAAAAUGCAUCAAAUUUGGCCCGGAAAAAGAAAACAGAGAACCAGUUGAGGAUGCGCACCCAUAAAACGCAAACAUACACGAAAUUGACACCAAAAAAUGCCUCAACUUUGUUUGGGAAAAAUAAAAAGUUACCUAGUUCAGGAUGCAUAACCCUAAAUCGCUGACAUUCGCUAAAUUAGCACCAAAAUGCAUCAUAAUUGACCGGAAGAACCAAAAAAAAAAAAAAAAGAAGCCUAAUUUAGAAAGCAUAACCCUAAGCCGCUGCAAUACACUAAACUAAAGCACCAAAAUGAAUCAAAUUUGGCCGGAAUAAGAAGUAAGAAACUGGGAUGAGGAUGCAUAACCCUAAAUCGCUAGGACACGCUAAAUUACCAACGAAAUGUUCCAAAAUUGGCCGGAAAACCGAAAACAGACCUGUUUGAGGAUGCAUAACCCUAAAUCGCUAACAUACACAAAAUUAGCACCGAAAUGCAUCAAAUAUAGCCGCUAACCUGGUUGAGGAUGAAGCUUUUGCCCUGGCGAGCGCGGCCGCAGACGGAGACGACGCCGAUGGGGCCCUUGACGAGCUGGAGCGCGGCGACGGCCUCCGGGUCCAUCCGGAACUUCCCCCCCUCGUCGCAGUACACUAGGCGGAGCGGCCGCGCGGGGCCGAGCGCGACAGCACCGCCUCCGACGCCGUUGCCCGCGGCGGAGGACGGCGGCGGCAGAGGGGUCCGGCUAGGGUUCCGGGGGUCCCCGGUUGCUCCGGGAGUAGCAGGGGACGACGCCGCGCCGCGGAACCCGAACAUCUGCUUCAUCGCGCAGCGGCUUCUCGCUCCCGCAGCAGCUUCGCGUCGCGACCGAUCGCCACACACACACCCUCUCUCUCUCUCUCUCUCUCUCGCGCGCGCUUCCUAAAUUUCGUGUCGAAGAAGGAGAGAGAGAGAGAGAGAGAGAGAGAGAGAGAGAGAGAAAGAAGGGUUUUGUUUUGAAAAGGGGGAGAGGGAAUUAAGCGAAGUUCGAUCGAGCCGAGCCGCGUGGGUUUCACGCUCACAAUCUUACAGUAUCCGAGUCCGAGUCCGAACGAGUUAAACCAAACCUGCUGCAACCGACCGACCACUGACCCGCCGACACGAUCCCAACCCGGGCGAGCCAGCUUGUCCCGCUUGUGUAACGUGUCAUUGAAAUUAUUAUUAUUGAAAUUAUUUUUUAUCGGUACUUAUUUUAUAGGAUUAAUUGCAUACAUAUCCCUAUAGAUAUAUUGAAUUAUAAGUACAUCCUUAUAUAUUUUAUAUGUUGUUCCUAUAAAAGUUCAUAAUGUUUUCAAAUAUAUCCCUGUUGUGAGAAUCUGUUAGAAAAUUUUAAUUAACUAUAGGUUAAAUACUUAAUAAUGAUUAGUUUUUGACAUUUUUACCUUAUUAUACUAUACUGUUAUCGGUUUUGGAGGGAUAUAUUUGUGAUGUCAAAAUUGAAAAUAUAAAUGGUUCUCUAAUGAUAACAAAUCAAAAUGACAUAUUUGAAAAUAUUAGAACUUUUACAGAAACAACAUAUAAAAUUGAACUUUGUAGGUAUAUAUAUUUGUCAUUCACUAUAUUUACAUGGAUAUGUAUGAAAUUAACUCUAUUUUAUUUUUUAUAUUAUUUAGUUUAUCAUAAAUUAAAUUUGUUUUAGGUGAUAGCAAAAUUAAAUAUGAAAAAAAAUUGAUAUAACAGUGAAAAGUUAAUUGUUGUAAUUUGAUUUUGUUAUUUUAUAUGCUAGUGUAAAAAAUUAUGAUAAAACAAAUAAAAAUAUUAAAAUAAUUAUAAUUUUCAUACUAUUAGCUUUCUAUGUAACAACAUUGCUAGAAAUAUAACUGUUAUCUAAAUAUCGGUUCAGUCAAAAAUCACUUUCACUUGAAAUUUAGUUAUGAACAAAUCAGACAGAUCUUUAGAAUUGAAAACGUAUAAUUGAAAAAUACCCAGUUCAUUUUUUACAUAAGAUUCAGAUACCCCAUCUAAGUUUAUUGAAUAUUUACUUUACUACCCUUUAGUUUUAACUUUGUCACUGAUUUAACAAAAAAAAAUAGUAAAAUCGAUAAUAAAAAGAUAAAAAUGAAACCACAUGGCAUUAAAUUAAUACAAUUUAAACCACAGGAUAAUAAAGUAAGAAAGUGAAACCACAUGAAUGGUAUGAGAAGUUUUUUCAGAAAAAAAAAGAAAAAGAAAAAGGAUUUGAAGAGCAUAUCCCUGUGCGUGGACUAUGUGGUGAAUCGACAAUGAAUAUGUUGAUUGCAUAUUUUGCGAUAGUUAGAUCAUGUUAUUCCAUUUUUGAAUUACGCAUACUCGUAUUCUGCACCACUUUUAUACAUCAUACAUGAUAGUCUUUCGUAUUUCAUUUUACCCUGCUGCUCUUUAUUUUCUCUUAUUUUGUGAUAUACGAACUUUUCUGUAUUCUAUAAAAGCCUUAUAUGCACUUUUAUAAAUUUAAACUGAAACUUUGAUUUGAAUCUUAGGGGUCGUUUAGUUGCAUAUAGUUACAACUGUACUGCAGUUGUAAUUGUAUAUAAAUACAAAUUUCAUGUUUGAUUUGAUGUAUUUAACUCUAACUGCUGCAGUAGGAACUGUAGGAGGAGGCUCAACUGUAGCAGUUCAAACUACGCCCAAAUUGGCCGCAAUUCCAACUACAGCAGUUGGAGAGAGUAACUUUAAAUAAAAAAUAUGCUUACCCCCUCAAUAUUUUUUAAACAAAAAUUUUUUUUCUUUUUUACAUUGGAAGUAAUCUCACCAUCAUAUAUAUAAAGUAAUAAAAUUUUAAAAAUUAUUUCUCAAUUGCAUGCAACCAAACAAAUUAUUUAUACUUGCAGCGCUUUCUACUACAUCCAACCAAACAUGAUUCAUGUAGUUGUAACUGUCGUAUUUUCAAUUGCAUACAUCUCUAACUACACUGCAUUUAUAAUUACAUCUAACCAAACGGCCCGUGGAGGUGCGGUUGUCGCAACUUGUACGGUGGGAGUUAGGGCAAGCAACGAUGACAAUAAUUUGAUAAAAUGUACCAUUUAUGGUCCCAUCAAAAACUAAAGAAGCAUAUAGAAAUGUGCUUGUGCUUUAGCCUUUAACUAGUGAAAACCCCACGCUUCGCUGCGGAUAAAUAGUUUGAUAAACAUACAGUAGUGUAGUAAAAAUACAACAGUAAGCAUAACUCAGCAUUAAGUAGUUUGAUAAACAUACAGUAGUGUAAUCAAAACACAGCAUUAAGCGUAACUCUGAUAGAAAUAUAAUAAAUUAACAGUACACUAAAAAAUAAAGCGCUUCGCUUCGGAUAAAUAGUUUGAUAAACAUACAGUAGUGCAGUAUAAAUACAGCAGUAAGCGUAAAUCAGCAUUAAGUAGUUUGAUAAACAGACAGUAGUGUAACCAAAACACAGCAUUAAGCGUAACUCUAAUGGAAUAUAAUAAAUUAACAGCACACUAAAACGUAAAUUUUAAAUCUUCAUAGCUGGUCUUCAUUUGUAGAAGAACCUUCAUCAAAACUGCACAUAAAAAUAAAGAACACAAUAACAAACAUAAGUAUAACAUAACCUUAGGUGUAAGAAAUGAAGUAAAUUCCAACUCACCAAAGCCUUUUUUUUUUGGCAAGCUGGAUCUCCUUGAUAUCAUCGGCAGAUGCCUAAGAGCUGUAGGUAAAACAAUAUAUCUCAGUUGCUUUGAAAAACACACAAACGCAAAGACAAACACAUACAUGAAAGUAAAUAUAUAAUUAUCACCUGAACGAAAUGGUUGUACUUGGGGAUGCUUCCUCAAAUAAUUCUUUGUGAACUUCUUUGUGAGUAGUAGGUGAAUCAAGUCUUUCUUCACAUUUAAUCAUUAAAGUUUUAGACGAAAAAGUAUUCUCCUUUAUAUCGUACUAAAUAUUUAAAACUUUAGCAACCUUAAAAGAAGGAACACUUGCUCUGAACCUGUGUAUGUCAGGUACUAUUUGAAAAAUAUGUUCAUUUCCAAUAAUUAUUUUAAUUGCAGGAGGAAGAGUAAAUUUAUCUAAACCAGCUGAAGUAGCGAGGUUUUGAGCCGGAAUAUGAAUCAAAUCUUGGGCCAAUCUGCCGAAAAUGGUAAAAUUUGCAGAACUGGUAUCAUCUUCAACAAUAGUAUUUAAUUUGUACCUUUUAACAAUAUAAUGGAAAGAAGAAAGAAUGCAUAGUAAGUUCUUUUAUUGAAAAAUUUAUAAAACAUUAUGUAGGAAACUAAAUAAUUACCAUGGUAUAGGAGAUUGAUCAUUCUUAUCACAAUUGGAGCACAAAAAAGUAUCACCAAAUGUCUUGACAGCUGAUUUUCAGUUAUAACAUGCUUUGUACCACCAACCAAAAGAUAUAUCAAUUUCAGAAAUUUUAGCUUUGCAGGUGUACUUCGUAUUCUGUUUGAUAAAAAGUAAGGAGGAAUUAUUUUUACAUAAUGGGGACAAAGUAAAUAGCUUUAUAGGAUGAACUUGUAGAAUAAAAAUAAAUAGCUUUAUAGGAUGAACAAAUAGUGAAUUAUUAUGUAGAGAAUAUAUAUACCAAGAAAAAAAUGUUAUAACAAAUAAAAAGAAAGAAAUAGGAAGAUGGGGAAUUCUUGAUUCAGAUAGGUAGAAAGAUGGUUGAUGCAAACUGUUUAAAAUAGAAGAAAGUAAAUAGUGAUGCAUUAAAAUAGAGGAUAGUGUUUAUUAUUUUUUUUUUGCACUUCAUAUUCAUUGAUGCUGUUAUUCUUGGAUGCUAUAGUGAGGCCCAACCAUAUUCUAUAUUGAGACCCAACCAUAUAACACUUUAAGAGAACUCACUGCAAGGGUCAAAAAUGUUUUGAAAAAAAAAGGGGUAAAAAUCAAAGAGUGAGAGAAAAAUAAAAAAGUAAAGUGCCCUAUUUCCUCCCAGCAUGCAGUUGGAGUUGGACUUCGCUCGCCAGGUGCAGAAGAAAAUACUGAAGUUGGCCUCAUUUCUCACACUUUAGGAGUCCAGGUAUUUUCAUGGUAAAUUAUUUGAACAAAUUGUAAUAAAGAAAGGACACAAAUGAUGAAGUUAUCACGGACAAAAAAGAAAUAGAGAACAAAGGGAAGAAGUAAAUUCUCCAUCGUCAAGAGUUACAUUAUUGUCCACACGUUGAGAAAACCAGUAAUACGGAAAAGAGUACAAUCGCACUACAACAAAAACGGUUUAUAGCGACACUUUUAAGUGUCCCUAAAACCUAAAAAAAGUGCUGCUAGCAAAAAUACCGACACUAAAAAUAGUGUCGCUAUAUGUGCAGUCUCCAGGGUAUAUAGCGACACAUAAUAAAGUGUCGGUAUAUCCCAAAAUAAGUGCUGCUAUUUAGUGACACUUUUUUGAUUUUAGUGACACAAAUAAGUGUCCCUAAUUUUUUUAAAAAAUAUAUAUUUUUUUAUAUAGUGACACUUUAUAAGUGUCCCAUUGUCAUUCAAAAUAUAAUAUUUUAUUUAUUUAAACAUCUAGUCUAGUAUUAAACUUUAUUUAUACUAAUCUCAUAUACAUUAAAUCGAUGAGACUAAAAAAAAAAUAAUCAACAAAAUUUCUUAAAUUCUUGUUAAAAAGAUAAAACUAAAAUCAAAUAUCCAUACGUCACAACAAUAAUAUCCACUCAUAUGUUGUAGUAAUUAUAACAAAUCAAACUCUCUAACUGAAAGAAAUACAAAAAAUCAAAAAUUGUAUGAUAACAAAAUCAAAAAGUGCAUAAACGAAUUCUGAUCGGCUCCACGAAUAUAUACUUGAACCUGCACAUUGAAUAACAUUUGAAUUAGUUCAAAUUUGUGCAGAAUUCUUGAUUUGCCAAAGCAUUAAAAAAAAAGAGACUUGUUGAAAUUCUCAUAGUCCUUGAUUUGCUUAUAUUUCUAUAGGUAUUUUCAGAGUUUGCUUGUGCAGUUUUGGAGCAGAUUUUAUUAUUGAGAGAGCAUAUAUGUAUCCAAUUUGGUCAACCAACUUUAGAAAUAUACAAUAUACAAUGCUAGAAGUUAUAUCAACUUUAAAUACUUUUUAAAGAAAAAGAGUUCAAAAGAAAAUUGCAUUGUUAAUUAUCUAAAUACAAUAGUAAUUACCAUUUCCUCCGCUACACGUGCAAAACUUUUCGUUCCAGCAGUAUGAGUUGUUUCCAACAUUGCACGGUUUCUUGUAUUUCGUAUGCUACGAGCCUAAGCAUAUAUAAUAAAUUUGCAAUUAGUAAGUCAACAUAAAAGCCAAAAAUGCUAAUAUCUAAAGACAAAGUUGUAAAGCAAAUUGGCAUACCAAUUUUUAUAUUAAUACAUAUAAUCAAGUAAAAUAAUAGGGAUGCUUAUACCUUUCCUACAUUUGAUUUCCAAAAAUCUACAAGAUAAAUUUCAAAAUGGAGUUUACCUUCUCCCCUUUGCAGAGAUCGACCUAGGCGAAGAUGUUUCGCGGAGAGGAGAUCGACACGAGAUGAGAGAGAAUGCCGCAGGGAGGACAUGGUAAGAGCUCGCCAUGGGAGAUCACGAGAGAGAGCUUGCCAUGGUGAGAGUUCGCCAUGGUCGAGUGGGAAGGGUUAUGUUUGAGGGUUGAGAAGGGUUUGGGGGUUUGGGGGAGAUGAUGAUCUGUGUGAGAGAUUUUUUUCUUUUUUUUUCUUUUUUUUUUUUCUUUUUUUGUAACUGGGUUGGACUUUUAAUUAAGUUUUUGUAAUGGGCCGGGUGGGUGGGUUGAGUAGGAAUAAGAUUGGGUUUUAUAUUUGGGCCAGGCCUUAGGUGGAUUUUUUUUAGAAGAUUUUGGACAUAAAUGGGACACUUACACAGAAGUGUCCCAGAAAUGUGUCCCUAUAACCCUGUUUUGUUGUAGUGUCGGUACACUUUUCAAAACAAUGGAAAAAAAAAAGAGAGGAAAAGAUAUGUGCUAGGACUAAAGGAAAAGCUCAUGUGCUAGGAAUAUUAAAAGAAAAGUAGGGAGGGGGUGGGGGGGGGGAAGAAGAAGGCAAAGCUCAUGUGCUAGGACUAAAGGAAAAAGGAAAACACUAAGAGUAAAUAGAGAGAAGCAAAUAACAAGGAAGGGAAAAGAAAAAAAAAAAAAAACAGUAAGAAGUAAAGAACGAAAGAACAGUAGGUAAAUAAUUACAGAAGAGAAUAUUAAAAGAAAAAAUAGCAAGGCUCAGAAAGUAAUAAGCUACUGCAUUUUUUUUUAAGCCAUAAGUUUAAGUAAGAGCAGAAGGAUCAUGUGAAAGUUCCAUAAGCUGUUGAACGGCAAACGACAUUGAGAACUUGAAGUGAAAUAAGACUUGCAUAAACUGUUGAACGAUAAUUACACAGCAAAGUACAUAUAUUAUUUAAUACCAAGCCAAAAUACCAUGCGUGAAAGAACUUCGUUGGAGGCAAAAGCAUGGACUAACUAAGUAGCCAGAGCAACUAAGCAUGCUGAUUGGGCAUAGCCUCAGAGGAAUCCGCGACGCCAGUAGGCAGUCCAACAGUAAUACGGUUCACAGUAGCAUAGCAGUCCCCUAUGGCAUUCCGGAGCUGAAUUCGCUCAUUUACAUAUUCAUUCUUUUGGGCGACUAUAGUAACAUAACACUCUUUAAGGAAACUAUGCUCUAUAGAAAGAUUAAUAUACUGUGCAGAUAUAACAGCACAGUUGGUUGUUUGGUAGUCGUAUAAGUUUUUGUAUAGGAGGGAGUCAUCAUAAUUAAUAUCCAUGAAUUGAAAGUCGCAUUCUUCCUUAAGUCUCUUCAUAGCUACACGCGUAGUCUCCUGUUCAGCGGCAGUAGCAGUUGGGAGCUGGGAACUCGAACAACGUACAGUUUGAAUGACAGUUCCGUUGUGUGGAAUUUGGAGGUCUAUGUAUCCAACGAACUUGCCUUCGGUAUUGGGGGCUACUACAAUCUGAGGUACGCCGAGGUCGAGUUGCUCGUAAACCUCGCCAAGCAUCCUAACGUAAGAAAAGUGGAUAGUUGCCAUGGUUCGGACUGCAAGGAAAGUAGGUCAAUAAUGCCUUUUUUUUUUUAUAAAGAACUGUAUUAAAGGAAGUUGUAAACCAUAGAAUGGCGCAGAUAUAAGUAAAGUACUGCUAAGAAGCAAGAUGGGAAGUGGAGGAAAAAGGUAAAAAGAAGAAAGAAACACACAACUAACAAUGGAAAUAGAUCAAGAGAUGAAGAAAACAGCAAGAUCAAAUAGAGUAAAGAAUAUUACAGCAAGUGAAGACAAAUAUGUAAAGUCAAAAAAUAGGUUGAAAAAUAUGCAAGUCUACACAAAUAUUCCAGGAAGAAAAAAUAGAAGAAGGAAAAACGUUGAGGCUCAGGUUUAAAGAUAAGCAUGCAUCAUCUCUUUUUUUUUUUGCGGCAUAAGCUUUACAGUAGGUGGUAGCACCUAACCAAACCCACGGUAGUAAGCAAUAACAGGAGAUGCAUUAGAAGGUGGUUGCCUUUAAUUAGGCCAUCCAACCUAGAAUGAACAGUCGACCAACAUCCAGCGUGGCCGAACCGCAAGACAAUAAUGCCAAUUACACCCUGUAUAUUGAAGGAAAAAUUGCUGCCAAUUACACAUUGUAUAUUGAUAGAUGGUUGCGCAUGGAAAAGCCGUACUGUCCAGUGUAGACAAUUGCUUUCUAAUGUGCCAAACCACUACAACCCUCCGUUCUUUUAAGAAAGGCAUAGGGAGGAAGAAAUUGAAUCCACAACAGCCCUCGAUCGUAAAGGGAGGUAGAUGUCGCAGGGAGUAAGAUAGCCACAAGAUGUAAAUGUAAGAGAUAGUCAUCAUCGCCUCGUAAAAUAAAAAAAAACCAACGAAAGCAGGAUUAAAAAAAAAUCAAGUAAAUCAAGGAGAAGGGCAGAGGAAGCAAAACAGUAACGUAAAGAAAAGAAAACAAAGAAGUAAGAAACACAGGUUAGAAAGAAGAACAAAAAAAUAAAACAGAUUAUAAAUGAUUACGAACAUAAAGGAAGUAAUUGCAACACGUAACCAAACAAAUAAAACCGGUAGGCUCAGGUAAAGUGUGAGAAAUGGAACCAAGUAAAAGAAUUCCCGUCGUCAGUUGCAUAGGCAAAUCUUGGCCGAACAUCAUGCUGGGAGAGAAGACAGGGUCAAAAAACAGGGGAAAAGAACCCAAUAUAGCAGCAUCAGUCAACAAACAGUAUUCGAUGGCUUCCCUGUAAUAGGCCGUCUAAUCUCUGUUAGAUGAUUGCCCUCCUACAGAACACAGAAGCCAUGCUUUCCGGGGGCGGAGAAGAUUGCAUACAGGAAAUAGAAGCGGCAAGCAAAAAAUUUCUCUCCCAAAACAUCAGGCAAUUUCACAGCCAAAAGAAAGUUCAGUUUUUUUUUUUUUUUUUUUUGUUACAGUUGUCAUCAUUGCCUCCCAAAAAAUAAAGAAAUUAGAAGAAGAAGCAAACAAAUCAAGAAUACGGACAGUAGAAAAUAGAUACAGCAGGAACCAAGACAUAAGAAAAACCCCAAUAUACCAGUGUCAGGCAAUAGGUAGUAGUAGAUGGGCUUGCAUAGAAAGGCCGUUCAAUUUGUGGCAGAUGGUUGCCUUUGUAUGGAAUACCCAAGCAGCAUUCCCAAUUUUCAUGAGCAAACACCGGCUAGUGUAUAGGUGGUCCAAAUGUAAGAAGCCAGUAUAUAGGAACACACAGAGGGGUCUGCAGCCAAUCAGAAUUGCUCACCUUACACUGCAGAGAGAUAGAGAGGUUCGUACUGCUGUUUUUUGGGUAAACAAUACAUGCUAUUUAUAGGCUCAGAACCACAGGAAAUCUUAAACACCUUAUUGUCCAGCAGCCUUUAUGAUUUUUUUUUGAAGUAUAAGCCUUUUUUCCAGGAAGCUAGAGCUAUCAAAUUUUCAAGUAUAAAAGCAGACAUGAUGAUGACAGAAUAGAUUUCAGGAUAUCUUCCCAUUUAUUGUUAAGAUCUCAGAAUAUCUUUAGAAUUUUUUUUUUUAACAAAGCUUCUGGCAAUAGGGAUUAAAUAGAUGUCAAGUAAAAUCUCAAAAGAUCUUUCCCUUCUUUUGUAAGAUCUCACAAUCGUUAUAGGGGUCAAACAGCAGCCUAGGGGUCGUUUCUUUUCAUGCCCCUCUGAGGAGUAGGAGACAAAUAGAUCUAGGGUUAGGGGUCAUGGAGAGUGCAACACACCAUCGCAGCCGUAAAAGGCUGAACGGACGGCAUAGAGCCGGCUAAGGCAAGCAGACAGCAGUAGAUAGAAAGGCGAGAGAGAAGAUUACCUAUGGAGGCCAGAGGUAUAGAGAUAGGGGUCACCUGUAGAAGCCACAAUAGGCAUAGCCGUAGGGGUUCUGUUGAGAGAGGAUCCAGACUGUUCUCUCCAGGAUCAAAGAUUGAGAAAGAGAGGGGCGAUCGGUUGAGUGUCAGAGAGGACCAGAGGUGGUAGAGAGAGAGAGCGGCUGAGCGCAGGACCGAUGAGAGAGAUGGGCGAUCGGUUGAGUGUGAUAGAGGAGCAUAGAUAGUAGAGAGAGAGCGGGGGGUAGAAAGAGCUGGAUGUAAUGGUAGAGAAAGAGAGGGGGGGUAGAGAGAGAGCGGGCUGCGCGAGAGAGAGAGAAGGAGAGAGAUGGGCGUUCUGUUUAGGAAGAAGAGAGAGAGAGCGAAGGGUUUGGGCGGAGAGGGUUGGCGUUCGGUUCAGGAGGUUAGAGAGAGAUACAGGGAGUAGGAGAGAGAGAAGGAAGGAGAGAGACAGUAAAAGAAAGAGAGAGAUGCGGUCGGUUUAGGGAAGCGGUCUGGGGAGAGAAGGUGCGGCCGGUUUAGGGAAGAGGUUUGGGGAGAGAUGGGGGAACGCCCCUGAUUGCCACGUGGAUCAAAAUACCUCCCCGAUUGCCACGUGUAUGGAAUGUUCUCUCAAUUUAAAUAGGGUAAGAUUAGUCCAUCAACAAGAUUGGAGUGUUCUCUCCUACCGUCGAGUUCCAUUCUUAGAAAACGAUAAAAAUUUUAGAAGUCCGAAGAAAAAAGUGAGCCAUUUACAAUAUUUUGAAUGGUUUACUGUCUUUCUAAUUUUUUGAAUUAGCGAACUAUUUAUAUAUUACAAUACAGAAAAUGAUGAAUCAUUUGUUGCUUAUAAAAUAUUAUAAAUAGUUUACCGCAAAAAAUUGCGUUCCACACCCUUCCGCCUUCUCCACUGUAGCUCCAUUCUUGGAGAGCUUUUUUUGCUUUUUUUUGGAAGUUAAUUUUUGGGACCAAAAUAAAACCAAAAAAAAACUUAGGAUAGAAACUUUGGAUUUAUUGUAAUGUUGUCCUCAAUAUUGCAAGUAUUUUUAUUUUGGUCCCUAACUUUUACCAAAAAUAGCGAAACACUUUACCGAUUCUUUUCUAGGCUUAUUUUGGUAUUGAGAUCUAUCUAACGCUAUUAAAUAGAAUGGAGUUGAGAAAACGCAUAUAGGAAUAUACUUCUGCGUUCUCUGAUGGGACCGCAUAAAAUAUAUCGUAACCAACUAACCGCAAUAUGCGGAACGCAAUAUUACGUACGGAAACAAAUAGGGUAUUUUUCUAUCGUUGUUUCUCAUCGCAGGUAACGCAAUCUCCCUGCAAUCCCAAACGAAGCCUUAGAGCACCACACUAUUUUCUACAGUAUUUUUUCAACAGCACUACUCCCUACUGCUAGGCCAAACAGGUCCAUAAAUCUUUUUUUUCUAAAUAAAUUUUUCAUAAGCUUAUUUUUAUAAUUUAAAAAGAAAACAAUAUGUCUUGGGUCGACUAAAUCAAGCCCGGAUUUGAAAAUAGGCAAGGCCUACAUUUGAGCCCAGGUUGGCCCAAUUUGAGGUCUCUAACAUGAGAAAAACCGGCCCACUAUGUUGGGCCGAACCGGCUCAGCAGAACACAUUAUUUUCACAUUAACGAUACAUUAAUAUUUAGUCAAUUAAAUUAGGCUGUAAGACUUAUUUGCAAAAUUUUAAAAUAUUUUAUGCAAAAAAUUAUUAUAUUAAAUUAAAAUUUGAGAAUUAAACUAUCAUCGGUUCAUAGUUUGAGAAAUAGAAGUGGAAUUUAGCUAGCUAAAAAAAUUUAGGACCUGAAAUAAUAUAUUUCAUAAAAUCAUAAAAUUUGAUUUCUUGAAAGAUCACAUGCUACAGAUCAUGUUUAACAGCAUCAAAUUAACUGGAAUGCCCCCUGUAAGGAAAACUUAAAACUAUCAGGUGCUCAGUACUUCUAAAAAUAUUUUAACUUAACUAUUUAUAUCUAGCUUUUUUUUGGGGGGGGGGAGAAAGAGAGAAAGAGAGAGAGAGAUAACAAGCGACCAGUUCAAAUAAAAAUAAUUAGGUUUUAAAUUUAAAAUCUCAUAUACCAACCGUUAGAUCUUUAGGCAAUUGUGCUAGAUACCGUCAAUUGUUCGACUAUGCUAAAUCAUAGCGUACUUUUGAGCAAAACUUUUAAACACUCUACACAUUUGUGGAGCACUAGAGUAUCAAAAUAUUCAUAAAUAUGUGACUUAUUAUUUUUGUGAACUUAAUUGCCCCCAAACAUUCUACAGUUAUUUUCCUUUACACAUAUUUUGGUAUUUAAUUUUUCUUUGGGAAAACUUCAAAACCCUCCGUAAUUUCAUACUUUUUCAUUUUAGUACCUUGUGAUUUAAAUUUUAAAGUAUAUCAAGUUAGUACCCGGUGAUUUUGCACUUUCUCACUUUAGUACUCUGUGGUUUAAAGUGUAUCAAGUUAGUACUCUUUGGUUUUAUUUUUGUAUCAAGUUAGUACUCUGUGGUUUAAAGUGUAUCAAGUUAGUACUCUGUGAUUUUAUUUUUGUAUCAAGUUAGUACCAUAUGGUUUUAUUUCUCUUUUUAUUAUCUAUUUUGGGUUUUUUUUUCGAUAAAUCAAUGCCAAAAUUAAAACUAAAGGGUACUAAAAUGAAUAUUCGAUAAACCUAGCUAGGAUAUCUGAAGUUUUUUGUAUAUAAUUUAACGAAAUAUUAAACCACAGGGUACUAAAAUGAGAAAGUGCGAAACCACAUGGUACUAACUUGAUACACUUUAAACCACAGAAUACUAAAGUGAGAAUGUGCGAAACCACAGGGUACUAACUUAAUACAGUUUAAACCACAGAAUAUUAAAGUGAGAAAGUACGAAACCACAUAGGGGAUAUUUGAAGUUUUUCUUUUUUUUUUUUCAUGCUCUCUCGAAAUUAAAAUUCCAACACUUUCUAAACUAUGAAGCAUAUUGUUGACUUCCAUAUAACUGUUACCAUUUAUUUAUUUAUUUGUUAUUUAUUUAUUCAUUCAUUUGGUUUACAAAUGUGACAUUUAAGGUUGUUUGAAGCAUGAAGCUUUAGAUUCCUUUAAAACAAAGCCACUUGUGUUUAUCAUUUUUUUUAGUGAACUAAUUUGAAGUCAAUGAAAGAGACACUUGCAAACUAAGUUGGGAACCAAUUUGUUAUUGGUAAAGGCUAAUUUUGUGGAUUAAUUAGGUGUGGCCUCUUUGGAAUGCAUGAGGCAUAGUGUGAAAGCUCACCCCCUUUUCUUUUGAAGUUAAUUUCAUACGUUUCAAUGCGAAAGUGUCAAAUACCAGAUAAUUUUUAUAAAACUUAAAUAAUCAGAUUUAUUCUUUCAAAAAUUUUAUAAUUUGCAAAUAUAUCCUCUAAAAGUUCCAAUGCCUUCACGUUUGUCCUAACUGUUUGAUUCGUCUUUAAUUUUUUUAAUGAUGAAUACGUAAAAUGAUCAUUUUACCCUUACAAAUUUGUUCCUAUAAAAAACAAUCUCUUUCCUCUCUCUGCCUUUGCAUUCAUCACCCGUUGCACGGGUACCUUGUCAUUGCCACGGCCGAGGGCAGAUUCAAAAUGGUAAUACAAAUUACAGAUAAAAAGGAUAGAAAGGUCCUUUAACUCCUUACCUAACCACGGUUAACUUUUUUUACUCAUGGUUAUCAUAUUUUUGUAAUAGAAGGAUAUAUUUGGAAACAAGAGAAUUUUUAAAGCAACAAAUAUGAUAACUGAAGUUUUAUAGGGAUUUGCUUGCUAUUUGAUAUCUUUAUCAGGAGCCACAUGCAAUUAUUCCUUUCUUUUAAAGAAAAAUCAAAAUUACAUAUUAUAAUUCUAUUACUUACAAAAAGAGGGUGCUCAAAGUAAAGCUGCAUGUAGUACUGCUUUUGGAAGAAGUAUUAUUUUAAAUACUUAUAGCAACAUUUUCUCAUGCAAAGAUUAAAAGUGCUGAAUCAAAUCUUUUUUGCUUCAAAGGUUUAAGAAUUUCUUUCUGACUUUUCGUUGUAUCAAAAACUUCAAAUAUUUCUCCAUCAAACACUUUACUGGAAACUACUAUUGUUGAAAAUAAAACCAAAACAAGGGCAAAUAAGCCCUAAGACCAUAAAUUUUCCUUAAUUAAAUACUCAAUUCUUACUUCUAAGACUAGAUUUAAUUAUAUGCUAGAAUCUUAAGUUUUCAAAAUGGAUAAAUUAAGUGCACACAUCACCCUCCUAGUGUAGUCCACAAAACAUGGGCCAUACAAUUAAUGCAAUGCUUUGGGUCCUCAAACUCUUCAUGGAUGAUGUAUACAAAUGCAAACCAACCUUAUAACAGAGGUUGAGUACAAGCAAACCCAUACUUAAAAAACCCAAUGAAGCAAUACUUCAACUUCAACUUGAUUGCCUCUUUCUUCUUAAACUAAAUGUCUUCCUCCCUAAGGCAAACAAGAUUUGUAAACAAAAAACUAAUUAAAAAAAAUAUUUUGCGUGCAUAAUAUUAUUUGUACUUUGACUUUCUGUAGUUUAAAGUGUACAUUUCUGUUAUUUCAAUUUUAUUUCUCUAUGUAUAAACGUUUAUAAACUAUAAAGUAGUAAAAUUCUAUAAAUAGUGAAAUGAAAAAAAAUGCUAUACCACUUUUGGAGACUUUUUUGAGUUCCCAUUUGAAAAGGCACUUUGCUUGGCAACAACCAACAAGUAAUUAGCUAGACACAAAGAGUAGUGGUAUACCAUAAGCAAUUCAAACACGAGUUUAGUUUCACAAGAACAUGUUUCAACCCUUUGGAGCCAAAGUGUGCAAAUUACCAAGAGAGAGACCACAUAGAGAGAGAAAUCAAGAAGAGUAAAUAGAGAGAGAGAGAGAGAGAGAGAGAGAGAGAGAGAGAGAGAGAUGUUGUUGAAUAAAGGAUCAAUUGAUUUGGUAUUAGUCCCUAGUGGCCUUGUUAUCAUGUUUGGGUACCAUCUCUUCCUCCUCUACCGGAUUCUGCGGUGUCCACACACCACCGUAAUCGGAUACGAGAACCAUAACAAGCGAGCCUGGGUAGAGAGGAUGUUGCAGGUUUGAUUCUUAUCAUCUGUUUCUCCUUUUUUUUUUUUGUGUUCAUUUCUUAUCAUCCUGUUAUAUAUGGUAGGAAAAGAAUAGAAUUUGUUGUUCAUAUGGCUAAACAUGAUUGUUAUCAUUAAUGGAUCCAAAUGAGCUUCUUAUUACUGUAGAACUGUAGAACUAUAGAAAGAAGAGAUUAUUCUCUUUUUUUUUUUUUUUUUUGAGAGAGAGAGAGAUAGGUAGCACGCUACCCGCUUUGUUCAUUUUAUUUAGAAAUAAACUUAGCUAGAAAUGUGAAUCAACUAGGAUUCGAACUUGGAUCUCGGGUACCAACCACCAAGCCUUUUGCCACUUGCUCUAGGAACGGUCGAUAAAAAAGAGAUUAUUCAAAUAGCAAUUCAUUGGGAGGUAAUUCUCUUCAAUUCAGGAUGCGGAAUUUUCUAAUUUAGAAAAAAAAUGUAAGGAAGAUAAUUGAUGUGGUCUUAUGUUAGUACUUCUGAUCCAUUCAAUACUGAGACUUCUUAUAUUGUAGCAUAAAUGGAAAUUAAUGUGAGUACAAUGUUUGGUGAUAUACUUAAUUGUGCGCACUUCCUAAAAUGAAGUACCAGGGAAUGUUUAUAUAAUUAAGUCCUUUUAUUCUUUUAAACUAGUUUUAAAUUUUUCAAUAACUUUUACGAUAAUAAUUUUUUUUUUCUAAAUUGUUCGAUUUUUACCGUUUAUUAAUUUAUUAGUCCAAUUUAAUUUCUCCAUCAUAUUUUAAAUUAGAAAACCUUCCAAAAUCCUCAGCUACAAUUGAAAAAGGAUAAUAGAGUGUUCCAUUUCAUAAACCGUAUGUUUCUACAUAAUUGAUGGUGGCAAGAGAGGCACUAUAUUUAACUCUUGCCAAACUAUGAUGUGAUAGAUCUAUAUGAUAUGUAAGAUCAAUAAAAUUAAAUACAUAUAUAUCAAUGCCGAGCAUUGUAAACACAAUCAAAAAUAAGUUACGGAGUACCAUAGAGAAAAAAAUUUUAAAUCUAUCGAUGAAAACGAAAAACUGAACUAUGUUUGAACAUUAUCAACUGAAUUUUGGAUAAUCAGCUUUCUUUUUCUAUCUCCUGCAUUCUCUUGUAUGUACUUGGUUGGUUGGACUACUUGAUGACCUAUGAGAUCGGUAUAUUCUGAGAGACAGAAUUGUGGGCUAGUGACUGACUGAUGGUAAAAAGGUGGCAAAACUAGUAACUCUUUAUAUAGAUCGCCUAGAUCGACUUCUUAUCGAGUCUGAUUAGAAUUUUAUUCAAUUUUUGAUAGAUGAGAAAAAUGUACAGUUCUAUUUCUGUUAGAAUUGACUUUUAUUUAUAGUAAAUUCAGAUUUAAAUAUGAAUAAUUGGACAACUUUUAUAGAAAUCCUUUUAUGUUGCAGUCGAUGCCGGAGGAGACGGGCAUUGCAUUGCAGGUGAUAUCGAGCAGCCAGACGGCGUCCACGAACCUCGCCUCGCUCUCCAUCGCGCUCGGCUCCCUCAUCGGCACCUGGGCCGGCGGCUCGACCUCGAAAACCCUCAUGGCCGAGGUGGUCUACGGCGACACGAGCCAGUCCACGGCCUCCGUGAAAUACAUUUCCCUCCUCGUCUGCUUCCUCGCUGCAUUCACUUGCUUCAUCCACUCCGCCCGAUAUUUCGUUCAUGCCAGCUUCUUGAUCAGCACGCUCAACUCAGACAUCCCGGUCAGCUACGUCCAAACCGCGGUAACGCAGAAUUACUGUUGUUCUCUAAAAUUUUAAGUAUGUAACAUCGAAUUGUUUCAUCAAAUUAUUUAUAUGAAAACCUAGUCAAAUAUGAUUUAAUUUAAUGAUUUGUACCACAAUAAGUAAAUUGGAUGAUUUAGAGUACAAUUUAUCCAAAGUUGAGUUUCUCAAUCAUGAAAAAUCAAUUUUUUUGGGUCAAAAAUACCCUUUUGAAUUUCAAUGUGGCUUAUGUAGCCAAGGGUAAAACAGGAAAACAAAGUCCUAAUUUCACUUUUGAGUUCAUUAACUGAGAACCAAUUCAAGUACCAUUUUGGUUUAUGCAAAAAAAUUGAUUUUUCAGAAAAUAGUAUUUUAAUAUUUUAUAUUCAACAGGUAAUACGUGGUGGUAACUUCUGGUCGAUGGGGCUCAGGGCGUUGUACUUCGCGACUGCCUUAUUGCUGUGGAUCUUCGGGCCGAUUCCGAUGUUUGCGUGCUCGGUGUUCACGGUGGCGGUGCUGCAUAUGCUGGACAGUAAUUCGACGCCGCUGCACCAAUUCCGGUUCGGCGCGAAUAAGGCGGCCGGAAUAGUGCGGAGGCCGACGGCAAGGCCUGCACCAAGUAAUGUGCUCAGCAAUCCAGUGUUCUCUCCUCCUGUUUCUUACCUAAGCUGAGAUCUUUACUGGGCUUAUAUAUGCAUUUGUUGAUAAAUAUAUAUUUUUUUAGCUUUUGUGAGAGAAAAAAAAAAAAAAUAAAUAUAUAUAUAUAUAUAUAGAGAGAGAGAGAGAGAGAGAGAGAGAGAGGCUACUAUGCUAUCGGAAGCACGGAGCCUUCCGUGCUUCCAACUCGUUUUCAAUGUUGCGACUUUCGAAUCGUCGAUCAGCUCCGUUAAACUUGAUCUAGAGUAUUUAGAGUACGUAGAAAAUAAAUUUUAUUACUUUUCGAUAUCAUUUACCUAGUGAUCGAAUAGGCUCAAAAUCAACAAAUUUCAAUGGCCGUAUAAGCGUUUAUCAAGUUUUAAUCGGAGGGGGGUUUUCUUGGGGGGGGGGGGGGGGGGGUUGUGGGAGGGGGGGGGGGGGGGGGGGGGGGGGGGGGGGGGUGUAAGAAAUAUCCAAAUCACGUGAAAUUUUCAAUAGAAAAUUCUUUAUACUAUAUAAAACAAGAUCAUAUUCUUGAUUUAAAAUUUUAAUGUCAUAUUAUUACAUUUUGUAAGAUUUUAUUUUCAGCCGUUGAUUUUGAGCCCUUCGUUCACUAGCAAAUGAUAUCGUAAAAUCAUAAAAUUUAUUUUCUAGUACUAAAAUACUCUAGAUCAAGUUUAACGGAGCCGAUCGACGGUUCGAAGUCGCACAUCGAAAACGAGCUGGAAGCACGGAAGGCUCCGUGCUUCGAUAGCAUAGUAGCCUCACUCUAUAUAUAUAUAUAUAUAUAUAUAUAUAUAUAUAUAUAUAUAUAUAUAUAUAUAUAUAUAUAUAUAGUUGAGCUUCUGUGCGUUUAAGAGCACAGAAUUAUUUAUGCUUAUGACUUUUUAGCUAUCGAAUCGCCACAAAAUCUGUGCAGCACUAUUAACGUUGUAUUCCGUUAAGUCUUUUUUAUUAGUAUUAUACGGAUCUUGCGGCAAUUUUCGUCAGAUCACCUCAAGAUCGGUGCCGCACUAUUAGCGAUGUUUUGUCCUGUUAAGUCUUCUUUACUAGUGCUAUACGGAUCCUAGACGAUUCAACGGCUAUAAAAUGACAAGUACGUUGAAAGCAUAGAAGCUUAACUCUCUUUAUAUUCAUUUAUAUAUUAUUGUUGGUAGGGAGACUCAAUUUGUUUUGGGUGUUUUUAGCAUGCCAUGAUGUCAACAUUGUAGAAGAAGAGAUAAAAGGAGUGCCUGAAUAUAGAUUGUGGUGUACGGAUUAAUUUUUUGCUUGGAAUUUGAUGUUCUUCUUAAUUUAAGCUAUUUUUAUCAGAAACGAUUGAGUUGAGUCCCAAACACGCUAAGACACUGUUUGGAUCAGAGAUAACCAAACAGGGUUUCAGUUGGCAGGGAUAAAAUAUUUCGAUCAAAUUUUGCUACUUUUGAUUAUCUCGAAAAAGUUCUGACUUCACUAUUAAUUCUUCUUUUUUUUUUGGUGUAAAAGUGCUAUUUCAAAGUUUAAUUAUAAGCUUUAGGAAGAUUAUAAAUUAAAUUAAUAUAAAUUAUGUAGACAUGAUAUAUUAUAUAUUAUGAUAAAAUAUUUCUAUUAUGUAAAUUAUUUUUUAUAUUAUAUUAAUACAUAUUAUUUGUACUUAAAUAUUAUAAUAAAUUAUUUUUAUUAAUUUAAGUUUAGUAGAACUUUAAAAAAUAAUAAUAUUAUAUUUCAAAUGUUCUUUUACAUAGUGUAUCUCAUAUCUAAUUUACAAUCAUGAGCACAAUGUAGGAAAGUUUUUAAAUAAUAUAUUUAUUUUGUUUUUUGAGUUUUAGUAAAUGAAUGCAAUUAUUAAUGAAUGUGAAAGGAUGUAACUUUUAGUAAAAUGAUGUUACUUUUAGUGAAUGUGAAAGGAUAAGACAUGAAAAGACACAUCUUUAUAGUGUGUCUCUUCGAGCAUAUAUCCGUUGGAAUCAAUUACUAUAUUCAUUGAACUUGAUUCAUAUAACUAAUUUGUAGUUAUGAUCAAAUAAAAGUCACAAAUUGAAAGGUCACCUCAUAAAAUACUCGUUCAUAAAGUAUCCGUUCGUGGUCUAUAUAAGCUCAUAGCGUUAAUUGCUGAAGUACGAACAACUGAAGAAUCUCCAUUCAUAAUAAUUCCAUUCUUAUUUUUUUAUUUUAGUUUUUUUGACAAUUUAAUUGAGUGAGUGUUUAAAACCUCGACUUUGUGUGUGUAAAUGCAGUUGAGCUUUGUGGUUCAUUAUAUUCUGGAAGGUUGUUCAUUAAUCUAGCACACACCAAAUUGUUUGAACGGUGGGAACAGAUUAAGCCUUAAGAAGAGUGGUAGUGCUACACAUCUUGAAGCCUAUUUCAUUUUUCUACUUCAUACUUUUUUACAAUGGACAGUUUGGAGUCAAGUUUUCUGAUAUGUUCCGAGCAUAAAAGGGAUUAAUUGUACUUGAUUCGCUGCGGUUAAAACGUUUAGAGCAUAGAUGAUUAAGUCGAUGAUGUACUAUAUUAGUUUGGUCGUGACUUAGAUUUAUUCUUCAUCAAGUCGCAUGCAUAGUUAGUUAAUUUGGAUUCGGCAAAAAUUCGUUACGGUUAUAAUACGCAUAAAUUUUGUUUUCUAAUUUUUAAAUUCGUUGAAAAAUUUGGCUUAAAAAACGAAUUCGGUAUAAAAUAUAAAAUAUAAGAUGAUCUAUAUUUAAAUAUAAAAAUUAUAAGUUUUUUAAUCAGAUUUUCAAUAAUUCAGGAAUAAUUCGCAAUAAUUCGCGAAUUAUUCGGCUGGUCCAAAAAUUCGUGAAUUAUUCGCGUUGUUUGGAAAAAAUUCGUAACGUACCUUUUAAUUCGGAUUUUUAAUAAUUUGCAAAUAAUUCGCGAAUUAACUAGCAAAGGUCGCACACUCUAUUACUCAAAUGAUGAGUAAAAUAUGAGAAAGAUGGAUGACCAAAGCGGCCAAGUAGGAGAUGAUGCCACAGGAGUAUCUCCAUAUUGAAUUCGGGUAAACCCAAUCGGUUUGGGUUAAACCCAAUCGGUUUGGGUUCGAUCCGAUAUGGUUCGUCCACAUCGGAUCAGCCGGAUAUGUUUUGGAUAAAGUUGAGCAGAGUGGAGAGUAGAUAAGAUUGAAUUGAAACUCAUAUAUCCCUCUAUUUGUUAUAUUGCUUUCUAAUUUAUUUGGAAAGAUAUUGAUAAGGUCCAAUUUUAUAUAUUUUCCUCCUUGGUUUGUUUGGGGAAGAGGAUUGAAAAAUCCAUCGUAAUAUUAAAAAGAAAAAGAAGAAAUAUGAGGAUUUUCUCUUUCUUCCUCCUUUCCGUACAAAUGCCACCGACAUUCAUUGUUAGGUGUGACUCAAAAUUGAUUAUCGACUCAAGUUUGAAUUUUCGACUGGCCGAAAGCUUCACGGUGCGACCAAUUUGGAAAACAAUUUUGUGAAGAAAAAAUGAAUGUCUGUGGUGGGUAGCAGUACGGAUCGGAUCCGAAAUCCGUUAUGAAUUUUCUUUUCGUUUUUUGCCCUAGAGGCGUGAGAUCGUGGUUGGUUGUAAGCCGCUGAACAUUGUAUUCCUUUUUUCGUUCGAUAGUGAAGUUCUCUUCUCCCUCGCCCGUGAUUUUUUCCUGCAAAAAAUUUUUCAUGUAAAUCUGUGUGUUAUCUUUAUUUUCUGCUUGUGGUUUGAGUGUUUCAUAUUCGCCAUUUUGUUUCUGUUUGUGCGUUUGUCGUAACAUUCAUGAAUUUUGAAAUGCUUUUGGAGUAUGAAUAUAGUUCACCGACGUUCAUGGAUUUUGGAGUGUGAACAUAGUAGAGAAAUCUGGUCACCCUCUUCACAUUCAAUCCGCGACGUAUAGGAGGAGACAUAACACAUGGAAGAUCCAAAAGUAUCAAAGGAACAACGUUUCCUGGCUUUGGAGUGUGAAUAUACUAAAGAACUUCGGAAGCCCUCCUCACAUCCGAUUCGCGAUGUGUGGGAGAAGACGAAACAUGUGGAAGAUCCAGAAGUUUCAAAGAAAGGACGAUCCAAGAAGCCUUGUAAAAUAAGCUAGCAAUCAAAUUCAAUUUUGAUUUCUCAAUACAUUAACAAUCCAGUUUUCAAGUUUCUGCUGUCUAUUAUUCCAACAACAGAUAUAUACUAGAUUUGAAAAGAAAAAACUUGUAACAAAAAAGAAAAAAAAACUUUUGCGUAAUAUCGCAUUUGUAGUUUGUACUUUCCUGGUUCAGAAUGUAUAUACUUGUUAUUUUAAUUUUACUUUUCUAUGAGAAUCCAUCUUUAAAAAUGAUAGCAAAGCGUUACAUUUAUGAACUAAAAGAUAGCAAAAUGCUAUACUCAUUAUUAGCCUGCAAUUUACAAAAUAUAUGUGCAAACUAAUAAAAUGGUACAUUUUAUAUCAUAUAAUAAUAGUAAAAAAUGCGAAAAUGCGUUGUCACUUGGACACUCCCUCACACUUUGGUUGGCAAACAACUAGUAAUUAAGUACUAUACAUAUGAAGAAUAUAUAGCACCAUACUAUAAGCAAUUAAUUCAAACAUGCCUUAGUUUCGCAGCUACAUUCAUGUUGUACAUGUACUUUGAUUUUGCAACUCUUUGGAAGCAAAAAUGUAAAAAUCAAGAGAGAAAGAGACCAUAUAAAGAGAAUAAGAAUAGCUAGUGGAGGAGAAAUUAAAGAGAGAAAGAGAAUUAAAGAGAGAGAGAGAGAGAGAUGUUGCUGGAUCAAAGAUCAAUAGAUUUGGUAUUAGUCCCUAGUGGCCUUGUUAUCAUGGUUGGGUACCAUCUCUUCCUCCUCUACCGGAUUCUUCGGUGUCCACACACCACCGUAAUCGGAUACGAGAACCACAACAAGCGAGCCUGGGUCGAGAGGAUGUUGCAGGUUUGAUUUGUAUCAUCUGUUUCUUCGUCUUUUUGGUUCAUUUCUUAUCAUUUUGUUGUUGUAGGCAAGGAAUAGGAUUUGUUGUUCAUAUGCAUGGCUAAAUGUGUGUUGUUUAUAUAUUACUAGUGGAUCCAAAUGAGUUUCUUAAUUCCCUAGCUGUAGAACUACAUAAAUAGGAGAUUAUUCAAAUAGCAAUUCAUGGGAAACAAAUCUCCCACAAUCCAGAACAUAGAAUUUUCUACUCAAUACUCAUUUGAAAUGUUGACUGCGUCGGAUCGUUGUGUCUGAUCGUUGGCGCUAAUCAUUAAUCUCAAAAGCUCGAACUGUUAGAAAUACGCAACCAAUUCACUUAAAACGUACAAAUAGUGCCCACGGGUCUCGAUUGUGACUCGGCUCAACCAGCCUCAUGCCAUUUCGAACAUGAAUCGACCCACCCAGCCUGACGCCAUUUUGAACAUGAUUAGGCCCAACAUGGCCUCCCGCCAUAGGGCAGUAUGCUUACCCAUUUAAGUGAUUCAUCGGAUGAGAUGGAUUCGGCUUUCAAUGGACGAUUGAAUCAUAGAUUUCUGUAUCAUAAAUAAAUGGAAGCAUGAGCACAAUGGUACUUGAUGUGCUUAAUUGUGCAUGCUUUCUCUUUAUAAAAUGAAGUAAGAGAGAAUGAUUCAACAAUUAAUCUUCUUUUGACAAAUUUUAAAACUUUCAAUCAGUUUUAAGAAAAUGCCUUUUUCUUUGAAUUGUUUCUUUUUGUCUCCAGUAUGAUUCAUUGACUUAUCAGUCCUAUUUUCUACAACAUUUUUUAAAAUUAAAAAAAAUUCAAAAUUCUCUGNAAAACGUAAAAUAGAAAUUGUAAAAGGACGAAGUACUGCAUUUUAAAGUACAUGUUAUUAAACUACAAGGAUGCUGUACCAGAGAAUUUUGAAUUGUUUCUUUUUGUCUCCAGUAUGAUUCAUUGACUUAUCAGUCCUAUUUUCUACAACAUUUUUUAAAAUUAAAAAAAAUUCAAAAUUCUCUGGUACAGCAUCCUUGUAGUUUAAUAACAUGUACUUUAAAAUGCAGUACUUCGUCCUUUUACAAUUUCUAUUUUACGUUUUCAUAACAAGCAAUAAUUGAAAAAAAAUAAUAAAGUGUUACAUUUUGCAAACCACGAGUUUCUAUAUAAUUGACGGUCGCAAGAGAGGAACCGAUGAAACGCUACGAAACUAUAUGUGAUGCAGGGGAGUCAGAAGGAGACGGGCAUUGCCUUGCAAGUGAUAUCGACCAGCCGGUCGGCGUCCGCGAACCUCGCCUCAGUCUCUAUCGCGCUGAGCUCCCUCAUCGGCACGUGGGCCCACGGGUCGACGUCGAAACCCCUCAUGGCCGAGGUGGUCUACGGCGACACGAGCCAGUCCACGGCCUCCUUGAAAUACGUCUCCAUCCUCCUCUGCUUCCUCGUGGCCUUCAUUUGCUUCGUCCACUCCUCCCGAUAUUUCGUCCAUGCCAGCUUCUUGAUCAGCACGCUCGACUCUGACAUUCCGGUCAGCUACGUCCAGACCGCGGUAAUGCAAAAUUACUAUUUUUCUCUAAAAAUAUAAUAAUUGGAUAUAAUUUACACCUACUUUUUCGUAUACAAGUAGGAUUGCUUGCUAAAAAAAAAGAAAACAAACACACACCCUACCCACACGGCUCCUUUGGGUGUAUAAGGUAUACCCACCCAUUCUAUAGAUAGAGUUUUUUCACGAGUGACGUCGAUAUGGUAGAAGAGUAGUUUUAUCAUUAGAAGAGUGCGGUAUAUAAUGGCUAAAUUACAUAAAAUUUUUCUAUCAAAAUUUGAUUUUUCACUUUCCCUUCUUGUCAUUUAAAAAUCUAUAUUUUGCCUCCUUAUAAAAUAAAAAAUAUUCACAGGGACUACGGUGUAAACUGUGAUGACAAAAUGACCAUUUUGCCCCUCACCAUUUUUGACAACAGGAGAGAAGGCUUAGGACAUUUUUGGUAUAAAAAAAUAUAUAAUAAUAUUUUAUAAACGAAACCCUAACAGAUCACUAACGGCAAGAAGUGAAGUGAAUGUUUUUUAUUUUACAAGGGGACAAAGAUUUUUAAAUGACAGAGAGAGAAGUAAAAAAUCGGAUUUUAAUAUGGAGGUUUUCUGUAAUUUAGCUGUAUAUAAUAUACACCUAUUUUUGGAUGUAUGAAUAGCAUUGCUUAUCUGUGAUUCGAACUUUCUGAAUUUUCGCAAUUAAAUUUGACAAUUCAUUUUAGUUAAUUCAAUAUUAACAUAUCACUGAUGUGGAAGUGACGUGGUAUUUAAAUCAUGCUAUGACAUCAAGCACAACACCGCUAUAUCACCUUCAUGUUAGUGAUAUAUCAGUAUUUAAUUAACUCAAUUGAGUUGUGGGUCUCUGAUUGCAACGAUUCAGAAAAUUCAAGCUAAAAAUUAUAAUAAAUUAAAAUUUAAGGAUCAAAAUAUCAUGCAUCUUAUAGUUUGAAGACCAAAAGUAUAGUUUACCCGGCUUAUAUUAUUACUUGAAGUACAGUAUUUUAUUACAAAAAAAAAAGAGAGGAGAAACUAAAUAUAAGUAGUAUCCUAGAAUAAUAGGAACUCAGAAUCUCCAAUGUGAAAUUAACAACAUUGUUUAGAAUUCUACAUAUUAUCAAUUUGAAUGUAAAAUAUCGGAUUGUUUCAUCAAAGUAUUAAGCUUCCAAUGACCUUCUCACUUUUGGAGCUCAUAAUUAAUUGAUAACCAACUGAAAUUACCAUUUUGGCCCCACAAUAAAUAAAACUUAAGCCGUUAAAGAAUAGUAUUUUCAUAUUUAAUAUUGUUUAGCAGGUGAUACGGGGUGGCACCUUCUGGUCGAUGGGGCUCAGGGCGCUGUACUUUGCGACCACCUUGUUGCUGUGGAUCUUCGGGCCGAUUUCGAUGUUCGCGUGGUCGGUGUUUACGGUGGCGGUGUUGUAUAUACUGGACAGUAAUUCGACGCCGCUCCACCAAUUCCAGUUUGGCGCGGCCGGAAUGGAGAGGAUGACGGCGAAACCUGGACCAAGAAAUGUGGUCGGGAAUCCAACGUCCUCUCCUCCUGCUUCUUACCUAAGUUGAGAUCUCUUUAUAAGGCUUAUAUAUGUUGAUAAAUAUGAGAAAUUAUUCGGUACUUUAUUAUUAAAAAAAUAAAAUAAAACUUAACCGUUGAUUAAUAGAGGGUAAAGGUGUAAUUUUAAUAUUUAGCAGGUAAAUGGGUUACAUUAUUCGAGAUUAUUUCGGUAAUUAAACUAUACAUCAUUUAAAGAAACUUUUAAUUGAUAUCCUAAAUUCAUACAUUAAUUUGCACUAAUUUAGGAAAUUGAUUGAUUACCCUAAUUUAGGCAUUAAUUAGGCAUUAAUUUACAAAUUUAGUUUAGAAAUUUUCGAAUUUAGUUUAAACAUAAAAAUUAAAAAGAUUAGGAUUACUAUUCAGAAAAAAAAAAAGUUAGAAAUUUGAAUUCGAAUCUGAUUAACAAUCACAAAAUCUAUUUCUAAACUCGAUGGAUUUCAAAAAUCCAAAUCUAAACCCAAAACUAACCAAUUUUUUGAAACCCAAAACCAAAUCCAAACCGGAAGACUGGAACCCAAAACAAUUAUUUCUUUUUACCAUAUUUCAAAAUAUUUUAUAUUAAAUUUAAAAUUUUAAAAUAUAAAUUCGAAUAUAAUAUUAAACUUUAUAUAUGAUUCGGGUUGGAUUCAAGAUGGGUAUAGAAAAAAGAGUAAUGCUUCUAUACUUUUUUUUUUUUCCGUUGCUGUUCAAUCACUCCCACUCAACGGUACAGAUUUAAUUUUCUUAAAAUUGUGACCUGCAAUAGCAGGUCAUUUUAGGAGUGGUACCGGUCACCAGGUACCUCAAAAAAGAAUAUUUUUAUCUUUUAAUAUAUGAGCAAUUUAGUCAUUUUAUCUCUAUUAUAUUAUUAAAAUUUUAUUCUCUCUUUAUUUCUUUUUCCUCUCUCUAUCUUUCCUCUCAUAUUUGGUAUUUCAUAUAAGAAAAUUUUUAAAUUAUUUGACAACAAGAACAUGAGAUUAUUUUGUGAACCAACUAUGGAUUUUUUUCUAGAGAAAUGAUUCGGUACUUUAUUAUUAAAAAAAUAAAAUAGAUCUUAACCGUUGAUUAAUUAAAAAAAUAAAAUAGAUCUUAACCGUUGAUUAAUAAAGGGUAAAGAUAUAAUUUUAACAUUUAGCAGGAAAAUGGAUUACAUCAUUUGAGGUUAUUUCGGUAAUUAAACUAUACAACAUUUAAAGAAACUUUUAAUUGAUAUCCUAAAUUUAUGCAUUAAUUUUCACUAAUUUAGGAAAUUGAUUGAUUACCCUAAUUUAGGCAUUAAUUGGGAAUCGAUUUACACAUUUAGUUUAGAAAUUUUAGUGUUUCUAAAAUUUAGGCAUUAAUUUAAAUUAUAGAAAUUUUAGAAAUAGUUUUAUUUCUAAAUACGUUAAAUUUAAAUAUUAAAUAUUAAAUAUUAAAUAUUAAAAAAUUGAAAUUUAAGUUAGAGGAAUUUUGUAUUACUAUUUAAAAAAUUUGUAAUGUUGAUAAAUAUUUUAAUUCAACAUACUUAAUAUGUAUAAGAAAAAUUUUAAAUUCCUAAAGUUUAGACAUUAAGGGCUUGUUUGGUUCAAGGGUGGAAUUGGAAUGGGAAUGAAUUGGAAUGACCCACUCUCCCAAGACGUUUGGUUUAUUUGUGGAUUGGGAAUUGAAAUGAGUUAUUCACAUUUCAUUGUUUAGUUCGUAUAAACUAAAAAAAUUAUAGAAUAUUUUAAUACUAAUUUUACUCUCAAAUAUAAAUUUAUAUUAUUUAAAAUUUAUGAAAAAUAUAAUACUAUUCUCUAAUAAGUUUUCCAAAAAAAAUAUCAAAUUUAUUUUAAAAAACUUUUAUUGGUAUGGAUUAGGAAUAGGAUUUUGAGAGAUGAUAGGUUUUUUUUUUUUUGAUGAGAAAGGGGUGAAGAGAAGGAGAGUGAGAUGGUCACAUGGGCUUCGAGAACUUAGUUGGCUUCCGGAAUGAAAUCCCAAUCCGGUUUAGAAGAUCGGAAUCAAGUUGAAGGCUAAUGGGCCAUUCCCAUUCCAGUCCAGAAUAGGAAUCCCAAACCGAUUCAUGCGAACCAAACAAAAUUAACCAGAUUUGAUCAAACCGAUUUUCAUUCCAUACCCAAAAUGGAUGAACCAAACAAACCCUAAUUUUGUAUCACUUAUUUAAAAAUAAUUUGAAUGUAGGUAAAAAAAUUAUAAAUUAAAUGUAUUUAAUAUGUUAAAAAAAAUUAGAAUUGUUCUGCUUUAGACAUUAAUUUUGUAUCAUUAUUCAAAAAAAUUUGUAAUGUUAGUAAAUAUUUAAAUUUAACAUAUUUUAUAGGUUUAACAAAAUUAUGAAUUCAUCUUAGACAUUAAUUUUGUAUUACUAAUUUUAAAAAAUUGAAUGGGUGCAAAAUAUUUAAAUUCAACAUAUUUAAUAUGUUUAAAAAUAUUUAAGAAUUUUUCUAAUUUAGAUAUUAAUUCUUUAUCACUAUUUAAAAAAUUUAAUGUGGAUAAUUGAUUAGAAAUAUAGGGUAUAAUUCAAAUUUAUUCUUAGAAUAGAAUUGUAUGGACAAAAUUAAUUCAAAUUUUAAUAGUAAAAAUUAAUCUUUUAAAAUAAUAAGAUAAUGCAUUGUAAUUUAAAAUAUAAGUUGAAAACAAAUAAAAUUGAAGUUUAGAACCUAAAAAGUAAAUAGAAACCUCCAAUAAAUUUAAAUAGUAUAGUACAAUUUAAACUUAUAAUAAAUAAAUUUAAAUUGUAUAAUUUAAAUUUUAAGCUUAUAAUAAAUCUCCACCACAAAGUUUUACCGGAGUAAACAAAAUUGGAAAUGGUGAUAAAUUAAUAAAUUUAUAUUGAACAAAUCUAGGCUAUUUGUAUAUUUUAUCAAUUUGAUCGGUCCAAUUAAUUUGAUUUAUUAAAUUGAUUUUGACUCUUAUCAUUAAAAUUUUUUAAUUUUUAGUUGAUUUUUUAAAUUUUAGUUUGUUACAUUUUGGUUUAUAAUUAGCUUCUUAACUUUUAUUAUUCAUUUUAAUUAAAUUAGUAUCAAUGAUUUAAAAACCAAAUUGAACCGAUUGAUUCGACUGAUCAGACUUUAAACUAUUCUAUCAAAGAUCUGAUUUCAACCCUUUAAACUGAAUAAGAUUAAGAACAAUCUGGAACCGUUAAUGAUAAUAAACGUUUUAAACAGAAUAGUAUUUUAACUGUUAGAGCUAAUAAAUAUUUUAAACAUAAUUUUAAACAUAAAAAUUAAAAAAAUUAGGAUUUCUAUUCAGAAAAAAAAAAGGUUAGAAAUUUGAAUUCGAACCCGACUAACUAUCACAAAAUCUAUUUCUGAACUCGACGAAUUUCAAAAAUUCAUAUCUAAACCCGAAACUAACCAAUUUUCUGGAACUCAAAACCAAAUCCAAAUCGGAAGACUAGAACCCGUAACAAUUAUUUCUUUUUACCAUAUUUCAAAAUAUUUUAUAUUAAAUUUAAAAUUUUAAAAUAUAAGUUCGAAUAUAAUAUUAAACUUUAUAUAUCAUUCGGGUUGGAUUCAAGAUGGAUAUAGAAAAAAUCCACAGUUGGUUCACCAAAUAAUCUCACGUUCUUGUUGUCAAAUAAUUUGAAAAUUUUCUUAUAUGAAAUGUCAAAUAUGAGAGAAAAGAUAGAGAGAGAAAAAAGAAAUAAAAAAGAGAAUAAAAAUUUUGAUAAUAUAAUAGAGAUAAAAUGACUAAAUUGCUCAUGUAUUAAAAGACAAAAAUACCAUUUUUUGAGGUACCUGGUGACCGGUACCUCUCCUAAGGUGACGUGCUAUUGCAAAUCACAAUUUUAAGAAAAUUAAAUCUGAACCGUUGAAUGGAAGUGAAUGAACGGUAACGGAAAAAAAAAAAAGAGUAUAGAAGCAUUACCCUAAUAACAUAUAUAUAUUCAUCUGUCUCAUUUGUACUCUAUAUUGAGGAAAAUAGGAGAAAGUUUACAUUUUAACAUUUACACCACAUUAUCUAUCUCAAGCCAAUCAUAUUUUUUCUUUUGAGGGCAAAGUAUAACAAUUUUUUUUUUUUCUAAUAACUAUGAUGGGAUGGGUGAAUCCAAAAAAAUGAUGAUUGAUUGAAGACACCACGUCAACAAUAUAACUGGUGCAUUAUAGUUUUUUCUAAAAAAUAGAACAUGUUGCGCAAAGAGAAUAAACAGUGCGGAUGCAUCGUGCACAUAGGAGGAUUUUGGUAAGAGGGCCCAUCUGUUUAGCCCAAGCCCAGCCCAUCUCCUUUUUUAACAUUUUUAAUGGACCAUGUUAUAGCCCGCGCAAUUGUUGAUUAUUUGGUCCUUCUGCAGGGUGCAGUGCUGCUCGAUAAAGUACUUUUUAAAUAAUGCCAUAAAAAAGGAUAACUAUAUUGAAAUAUCUCCGACUGUUUUCUUUCUUCAACAGAAUCAAAAACUGCAAACAGGAGUUGGCGAGUUUUAGGACUCAAAAUCUCGUUUCAGUUUUUUCGCUAGAUUGAGGCUUAGUUUGGUAUUGAGGUUUAUCUAACGCUGUUAGAUAGAAUGGAGUUGAGAAAAAACAUAUAGGGAUAUGCUUUUGCGUUCUCCGGUGGGACCGUAGAAAAUAUAUCGUAACUGACUAACCGUAAUAUGCGGACGUACGGAAACAAACAUGAUAUUUUUUCAUCGUCGUUUCUCACCGCACGUAACGCAAUAUUCUCACAAUUCCAAACGAAGCCUGAAUCAAUUUGCCAAGUAAAUGAAAAGCCACACCAGGCAAAAUAGGAAACAAAACUUUUAUAGGCACCGUCCUUAUAGUUAGGUAUUAAAUUUCAAACUAAUGUUGAACGGUACAUUUGACGGUGUCGCCAAGGAGGAAUUCUAAACUAUCACACUUGCACCACGUCGUCAUCAGUAACAAGCCAAUCACAUUCCUUCUUUUCAAACAAAAAUGCAAUAAAAAUAUUUUUUUACAAUUAUGAUGAGACAUAUACCCUUAAAAGAAGACAUUUGAUUGGUUUGUUACCCCACGCCACCAAUAUACCCAUUGUAUUCUAGAAUUUUUCGUCGCGAAGAGAGUGUUUUCGUAAAACUUUUGUGCGACUUUACUUGGGUCGUCCAUGCAAUGGUCUUUUUUUUUUUUGUGAUUGAGACCUCCUAAAUCUCUAAUUUAGUUUUAUUUUGGAGUUUCUAUAAUUGGUUAAUUUAACAAUUUUAUAAAAUGUAAUAAUUAUAUUAGUUAUUAAUCGUUAACUGAUCUAAUUUUAUUUAUUAAAAUAUAAUUAAAAUUAUUAAGUUUAAUAAAAUCUUCAAAAUUUUGACUGAAGUCGCUUAAUUCUAAAAAAUUAGAAUUUGAAAGAGUUACAUGUGGAUCGUAAGCGCUAAUUAAAGCACGUGCUGAUAGGAAGGGCACACCUAUUGCACUUAAGGGUUUCGAUCUCAGUGCUUGACUCAAUCCAUUCGGACGUUGGGUUUAUUGUUGGACCUCUUGCUAUUAGGUCUUGUGAAUUGUAGCCCCACUCAAUUUAUUUGACUCAUCCAACUCAAUUUAUUAGUUUUCUGAAUCUAUUGUCACGAAAUAGAAAGUUCGAUCUAUGUUAGCCCAAUAAUAAAUAACCAACAAUUCAGUGUGAAAUUGAUAAAAAUGUACAAAAUUUAUCUGAAUUAUAGACCAUUUUGAAUUGGUCCUCCAACCUUUCAAAAAUUUAAUUUUAUCUUUCGACCUUUCAAUUUAUUUGAUUUAGACAAGUCAACGACAUUUUGACUUUUUUGACUUUAAAAUUUGAAUAUGUCGUUUAUUUUUAUAUAAUUAGUUAGUAUACUUAAUUCAUGCAAUUCUCGCAACUAUAAAUUCAUUAAAAUAAGUAAUGAGUUUAAAAUUUUAAGUCAAUAAUACUGUUGAGUGGCUCGUAUCAAACAAAUAAAAUGUUGGAUAGCAAAAUCAAUAUUUUAAAAUUUUAGAUAGCCAAUUUAAAAUGAUUCAUAGUUUGAAUAAAUUCUAUAUAUUUUUUAUCUAAAAAAUUUAGCUGAGUGUGAUAUUUAGAAUCACCUAUAGUUGAGUGUGUCACUAUAUAUUUUUAACCCAAAUAUAACAAAUUAGGAUUAUUUUUAUACAGAUCCUUGCAAACAUAAUGAAUUACAAAUAUAUCCCUACAAAGUUCAAUUUUUAUAUGUUGUCCCUACAAAAAUUCUAAUAUUUUCAAAUAUAUCUCUCUAGUUAAUUUGUUACCGUUAAAAUACUGUUUAUUUUAUAAGUGAAAUGACCUUUUUGCCAUAACAAAUAUGUCCUUCCACAAGUUCCAACUAUUAAUUAAAGAAGGGUAAAAAAGUUAAUUUACCUUAUUAACUAACUAGGGUUAAAUAUUUUAUCUAUGGUUAACUAAUUUUUUCUAAUGAAUCCUAUCAGCAGGAAUAUAUUUGAAAAUAUCAGAACUUUUGUAAAAAAAAUAUAUGAAAGUUGAACUUUAUAAAAAUUUAUUUAUAAUUUACUAUAUUUAUAGAGACCUAUACGAAAUUAAUCGAAUAAAUUACUAUAAAAAAAAUAAAAAAGCCUAUAAAAAGAAAAGCCUAGUUUUAGGCUAUAGACGCGUGAGCCGAAUCUAAAACCCUUUAAACGGGUGUAUUGAGGUGGGCCCCACCAAAAUGUGAUAUUAUCACCAACACAAAUGGGGAACACAAAAGCACGAGCCCAGCAGAGCGGUGGGGCCCAAAACGGGCCCCACACACACUCCUCUAGUGUGAUUAGAUGGGAUUGCCCAUGUGGGUCCCGCAUGAGCCGAAUCUGACGUGGCAUUUGUUGGCCACGAAUGCGAGAAGUGGCGCUGACCAUUAAUCCUAAAAUCUCGAGUUGUAUAACCAUUAAUUCUAAAACCUCAAAUUGUUAAAAAUAUAUAAUUAAUUAACUUAAAGUAUGACUCGGCCCACCCAGUCUCACGCCACAUGACUCUCCCCAAUAUGGUCUUCCGCCACAUGGGAGAAUGCUGGCUCAUUUAAGCCAACAAUUCUUCCUCCAGCAUCUGGACACAUUUGCAACAUACGGGAAUCGAACCCGUGAUCACUGGCUCUGAUACUAUUUGUCGAAUCAUUGGCGCUAACCAUUAAUCUCAAAAACUCAAGCUGUUAAAAAUACGCAAAUAAUUCACUUAAAACGUACAGAUACAGCGCUCACGGGGCUCAAUUAUGACUAGGCCCACCCAGCCUCACGUCACUUCGAACAUGACUCGGUCUAUCCAGUCUCACGCCACCUCGAGUAUGACUCGGCCCAACAUGACCUCCGGCCACAGGACAGGAUGCUGGCCCAUUUAAACCAACAUUAAAUGCAUGCACAGGGUGUAUAAGUGCAUCUUAUACACUGAGGGCGUGUUUGGUUUGCUUCUUUUUCACUCUGGAAUCGGAACCUAAAUGGGCGAAUCCGUUUGUGGGUAUUUGGUAUGCUGGAGUCCCAUUCCAAUUCCGAUUGCCGAGUGGAAUAGGAAUCCCCUAAUCACCUCUUUUUCUAAUCCAGCCUUCUAGACCGGAUCGGAAGUUGAAUCCGGACGGAAUAAAUAUUCAUUUGGAUUAAAUUUAUUUUUUAAAAUUUUUUAAUUAAAAUAUGAGUUUAAAUUUAGAAAUUAAAUAUAUAAUUUUAAAUUUUAAUUUGAACUUGAAUAAAAAAAUUAAAAUUUAAUUAAGUGUUUCAAAUCUAACUUAUGAAUUUGAAUUUAAAUUAAAUUUUAAUUUAUAUAAAGUUUUAUUCAAAUUUUAUUUAAAACAUAAAUUAAAUUUAUGGAUUCAAAUUAAAAUUUAAAUUGUAAUUCUAAAUUUGAAUUUGAAUAAAUUAAAAUUUAGUUUUAUAUUUUGAAAUAUCCACUCAACUUCAAAGUUUAUUUAAAAAAAAAAAUAGAUUUAAAAUUUUGAUAUUAUUUCAAAAUUUUGAUGUAAAUAUUUAAUAUUUAAUUUUUAAUUUGAAUUUAUUAAUAUAUUGUAAAGAUAAAGUUACUAUAUUAAUUUGAUUAUGUUUUUUAUAUUUACCUGAACCAAACACCGACAAUGGGAAUGAUUUAUUCCGAUUCCGAUUCCGAUUCAGGUAAUGAACCAAACAGAAUUAGGUAAUGAGUCAUUCCGAUUUCGAUUCUAGCUUAUUUCGAUUCUGAUUCUGAUUCUGAUUCCGACUUCGAACCAAACACGCCCUAAGAGGUCUUAAUAUCAAUUUUUAAUUUAUUAAGGGCAUGUUUGGUUCGUACAUUUUGGAUCCGAAAUGGGAAUCGGUUUGAUCAAAUCCUACUAAUUUUGUUUGGUUCACAUGCAUCGGUUUGAGACUCCCAUCCGGAAUGGGAAUGGUCCAUUAGCUUACAAAUUGAUUCUGGUCUCAAAGCCCGGAUUGAAGUUUCAAUCCUGGCUUGGAGACCACUCACCUCUUCCUCAAGCCCAGCCCAACAUUUCUCCAUCUUAUCCAUCAUUUCUCUCCCUAUACCGAUCUCUUCUCUCUUAUCUCAUCAUUAAAAAAAAAUGGCUUUUUUUUUUGUAAUUUCCUGCAUAAAAAUUUUUAAAAUAAAUUCAAAUUUUUUUGACAUAGCUCUAACUUGAGAGUAGUAUUAAUUUUUUUUAAUAAAUUUUAGAUAGUUUUAUAAAAUUAUAUUUAAAAGUGAAAUUAGUAUUAUAUUAUUCUAUUAUUUUUUUACUUUAUAUCAACCAAACAGUGAAAUAGGAAUAAUUUAUUCCGAUUUCCAAUCCAGAAAUAAACCAAACGUGUUGGGGGAGUGGGGCAAUCCAAUUGCCAUUUCAAUUCAUUCUCAUUCUAUUAUUCAUUUCAAUUCCACUCUUAAACCAAACAAGCUCUAAACGUGUUUUAUAGUACUUUAAAAUGCCUAGGUAUAAAAGAAGUAUAUAAACUUUGAAUGUUAAUAUUUUCGCAAUUAGCUUUUGUUGGUUGAUAUUUAUUAGUGCUUUACUGGGCCAUGCUAUAAUAGGAAAAUAAAAAUAGUGAGAGUUGAGAUAUUGUUGCCUGGACCUAGUCCACCAAAUCAGCAGUGGACUGCUCUUCUAAAUACCCUCUCAUUAAUGCUUUCAAUAGCCACUAUAAUUUAUAAUUAAGUAAAAAAUAUUUCAAACUUACCUAAAUUAUGAUUUAUUUUGAUUCGACUAUUUAAUUUUUAAAAGUUUCCAAUUUUGCUAUCUAAUCAGUUUAGUCACUUGAUUUGGAUUAUUUGAUAAAUAUUCAAAAAUGGGACAAAGCUUAGCUACGCUCUAUACAUUUGUAUCUUUAAUUUUUAAGACUUUUUCAUAUUUCAAAGUCAUCUUUCUUAAAAGAGGUCAUUGUUAAAAAUUAAAAUGGGAUGUAUAAAAGAUCAUAUCUACAAAGUUAACAUGAAAGAUAAGAUAUUUUUAUUUUUUCUUUUGUUUUCAACAGUAACAUAAAGCUUACUUAUACACGGUACUUCUGUUCUGUUCAAUACAGUGCGAUUUCGAUUAUCUGACCUACUUUAUCAUAACUAUUGAUUUUUCCCUUCUUAGCUUUGCGUGAAAGUCCAAAUCGCUUCAUAAACAGUUUACGUUGUUUUUCUUUUUUUUUGAGAGAGAUAGGUAGCACGCUACCUGCUUCGUUUAUUUCAUUUAGAAAUAAACAAUUUAUGUUGUUUAAAACGAAAACUAGGUACUUAAGCAGAGCUAAACAGACACUUAACUGGACAAAGCAUUAUCUUUAUUUCCUUUGAGGAUUAAUUCAUCAAAGUUAUCCCAAUUUUACCUCACCAGUGAAUUUAAUUUCAUCAUCAACACAUCCAAUGGAAAUAGAAAAAGGGGGCUUGAAAUGGGAAAAAGAGUGAUGGGGACAAAAAGUGAAGGAAUGAGAUGUUGGCCACUCAUGCACUUCCUCUUUUUUUUUUUCCUUCUUUUUUUUUUUAAUUUUCCUUUCACUAACAAAAAGAAUCCAACCUGUGUAGAUGUUAAUUGUAGUUAGUGGGGUCAGAGAGAGAGAGAGAGAGAGAGAAAAUAAAAAAAAAAUUUUAAAAAAAAGGUUAGGUGAAGUGGGGCAUUAUGCUUCUCCGGUUUAUCCGGGGGUUGUUUUGUACUGGUUUUUCUGAGAUCCUGAGAUGGAGAUUUUACACAAAAAUGCCUGAAAAAGCUCAUAUUUCCAAUUUGGUCUAUUAGGAGUAUUUAGUUUUCAAGUUGGUCCUUUUUUGGGCAAAAUUAUUGCUUCAACCGGGUGUGUAUACAUACACUGUUGGAAGCGUGAAUUGCUCUGAUAUAAAUUACUGUUGAAAUCGGUACUUAUGCUAAUACUGAUUAUAUAGCCCAAGAUUUAAAAUCAAAUAAAAUAAUAUGGAGAAGAGACAUUGAAAAAAAAAGAUAACUAAACUAAUACUUUAUUAAUAAAAGGUAUUUAAUUUGCAUUCUCGGCAACACCUAUGUAGCCAUGUUUACUAUAACUUAUUUAUCUAAUUAACUCAUACUUAACUAUAUAUAGUUAUCAAGUCACAGCAGAUGAUAAAUCAAACUUUUAUUCUGAAUAAUUACAAAUUCUACUCAAAGUACAUAAACUUUUAAAUAUAAUCAAUGUAUAAUUUGAAUAUACUCUAUUUCUAACUAAAUUUUAAAUUAAGUUUAGAUUAUUAUUUCCAACCUACACUCCAAUCAUAAGAUAGAUGUGAUAUAGGAUAUCUCAAAACACCUAAUAUAAAAAAAUAUAUUUAUUUAGAUAAUCUAAGCAUUUUGAUUUAUAUAUAAUAUAUAGAUUUAAAAAUAUUGUGGAACAUAUUAAAUGAGUUAGGUAUUAAUUCAAAAACUUUUAAUUUUAGCAUUCGACAUAUAAAAUGUACUUUUUUACACACUAUGUGCUAAUACAAUGUACAUAAUAAUUGAAUUAUUAUGUGCUACUAUUUUGAAUGUACUUUGUACUAUUAUGUAUGCAUCUUUAGAUGAGUAAACCUAAUGAUUCGAUUCCUGUAAAGCUGGUGUUAUCAAAAAAAUAAAAACAUGCUUUUACACUUUAAAAGAUUCAAAUAAAUUUAAAGUGAUUUUUCUUUGAUAGUAGUGAUUUCCAUGGCACUUUUAUACAUAGUGUUGGAGAAAGGAAAAUUAAACAUGCUUUUGCAUCUUUUAGGUUUUUCAAAGCAUAAAAGCAGUUACUUUUAAUCUCCGCAUUACUAAACAACUUAGGGCCGUUUGGCUAGAUAUAAUUAUAAAUGCAGUGUAGUUAGAGAUGCAUGCCGUUAAAAAUACAGUAGUUAUAACUACAUGAAUUUUGUUUGGUUGGAUGUAGUAGAAAGCGCUGUAAGUAUAAAUAAUUUAUUUGGUUGCAUGCAGUUGAGAAAUAAUUUUUAAAAUUUUAUUAUUUUAUAUAUAUAUGAUGGGGAGAUUACCUCCAAUGUAAAAAGAAAAAUAAUCUUUAUUUGAAAAAUAUUGAGGAGGUAAGCAUACCUUUUAUUUAAAGUUGCUCUCUCCAACUAUUGUAAUUGGAACUACGGCCAAUUUGGGCGUAGUUCGAACUGCUGCAGUUGGGCCUCCUCCUGCAGUUCCUACUGCAGCAGUUGGAGUUAAACACAUCAAACCAAAUACGAAAUUUGCAUUUACAUGCAGUUACAACUGCAUUGCAGCUGCAACUACAUGCAACCAAACGGCCCCUUAAGAGUAGUUUAGUUUAUACAGUUUUAUGACUAAGUAAACUACAAAAAGAAAAUAAAAGGAUUGUAUAGUGUUUAUAUCAAUGUUGUGAUUUUGUUUAGUGUCUAUAAAUGCCCUUGAAGUUGCUAUUCUCACUAUAAUAAAAACGGUGUGUAGUGAUACUUUUAAAUAUUAUUGAUAUAGGUCAAAAAAGUGUUGUUGGCUAAAUUACCAACGCUUUUUAAAAGUGUUACUAUAUAUGGAGUCGCUAUAGUAGGGCCGCCUCGAUAUUUGGCAUCCACUUCUCUAGCGACUUGUGUGGAGGGAUAUGUGGCAAUCGUAGCCCUCUAGGGUCCUGCGAGAUUCUCCCAGUCGAACUCCAGCCAUCGAAAUCCUAUCUUGCCGGCUGCGGCCGAGGAGGAGAAGGCGAGAUAGUGAUCAAACUUUUUUUUUUUUUCUUUUUUAUUUGUAAUCGGGCCGAGUAGGCUGUGUGUGGUUGGUUGAAUAGAUGAACUUUUUAUUUUUGAUUGGAUUGAGCUUUAUAUUUAGGCGUUAGUAGAUUUUUUUAAAAGAUUUUGACAUAAAUGGAACACUUAUAUAAAAGAGUCCAAAAAAUAUGUCCCUAUAAUCUAAUUUUUUUGUAGUGUCUUGGUUUUUGAAUCUAUACUAAUGGAUAUGGAUUGUAUUUUAAAUUGUGUUUUAGCUUCAACCCGAUCCAAAGCUCAUUAGAAUCAGUAUUUAGUUUCAGGUUUCAAAUUAAAGUUAGAUCAAAUUCAAACUCACGUGUCAAAUAGUAUAAAAUAAUUAUUUUUCUCUGAAAGUUUAAGAGUUCUCAAAAGAACAGCGUUUUUUAUAUGCUUAGUCUCGUCAUAAUUUGAGUUUGUUUUUAUUUUCAAUCAAUACUAAUAAUGUACAUGGAUUGUAUUGGAAAAGAAUCAAAUCGAGGUAUUAAGGAAUAGUGGAAGCAAACACAUAAGCGAUAAUAAUAAACACAAAGAAAUCAUGUAAUCGCACAACCAAGAAUACUGAUAUUUACGUGGUUAGACCGAAACUAGUAUCUCCGGAUAUCAGAGUAAGAAGAAACUUCAUUAUAACAUAGUUAAGAGUACAAUAUUUUCUUCGAGACACCGAGUUCAGCUGAAAAUAUGAAACUCUCCCCAAAUCAAAGUUAGAUCAAAUUCAGCCUCCAAUGUUAAAUAACAUAACACAUUCUUUUUUCUCUGUAGACUCAAGAUCCUAAAGAAUAGUAUUUUUUGGUGCAAUUCGAAUUCAUGAUCCCCUGCUAUGAAACUAUGCAAAAAUAAUGUGAAACGAUUAUUUUUCUUAUAAUAUUUAUAUUCAACAAUUGGGCAAACAACAUGCCCCUAUAAAUAAACAAAAAAACAAAUCAUGUACAUACGUAUCAGGCGAUACAAAUAGUGUUACAGUACACCGAAAUGAAAAUACGCUAUACCAUAAGAUUUUUUUUUUUUUUUUACAUUUUUUGAAAAGUUUAAUGUAUACACAUAUUGCUAGCAUUGAAUUGGAGUAAAGCCACACACUAUGUAUGGAGAGAGCCCCACCAUGUGAGGUUGUGAGACAAACCCUUGGCCUCCUUUUAAGAGAAAGGAACCCAGAAAUUUAGUGCAUUGUCCCCAAUCACUUUUCAUUAAUUUUCCUUUUGUUACUCCUCGUGUUUACAACAAGCAACUCAAGAGUUUUAACAACAUUAACCAAAAAAAAAAAAAAAAUGUAAUUUUCUUUUAACAUACAUUGAUCUGACACUUUUUUAUUUGUUUUCUCUGGUUACUGUAAUUAUCAUUCUAUAUAUUUGCAACCAAUUGAAAGUAAAAUGGUGCAAAACAUGUGAGUGAGUACAACAUUACUCGAAAAAAUAUUAUUUUCUUAAUAAAACAAGAAGAAGAAUAAACAAAUAAUCAGUGUAAUGAAAUUUAAGCAUUAAUAAUUAGUUGUUGAGUUUAAGAUCUAAACAUUUGUAUUACUAGUUGAUAUAUAGUUGUUUAUAUACAUUUGGUCCCCCAAAAGAUACGGGCUAAAAUACAAAAUUAAUUCGCUUUUAUCGUACACUUUCUCCUAGUUUUCUAUUAUCUUUCUAUAUUUUUAUUGUAAUGUCAUUAAUUCUUAUGUUUUGCUCUUCUCGAUAUGUUCACGACUUUUAAAGUGAUUGUUAAAUUCCAUGCUAUAUUUGUUUUCGUUCUUUCAAAUAGUAUAUCAAUAUUAUGCUACGGUCAUUUUAUAAAAAGUUGUGACAUACGAUUCUUAUCUUUAAUGUUUAAGAGAUUAAAUUUUAUUCGUUUAUUUCACUUGUUAAUCUCACAUAUUUUUUAUAUCCGUAUAUGAGUAGGGAUGUUAAAUAGAUCUUUUGAGCUUUUUUUACUAGUCAUUUGUGUGACAUUUUGGAGCAACAUGAUAGUAAGGAGUUGACUAAUGACAUGGAUGAUUGAUCCUCAAAAUAAUAAUUAAUUAGAAGUAUUUGAUUUGAAGUAGAGAACAAGAUGAGUGUAACAUUGCAACUUAAGCAUUAGACACUUAGGGGUUGUUUGGUUUUUCAAAAAAGUGUGAAAAAUAAAAUUCCGAGAUACAAGGUUUUCACGGAAAAGCUCUUUUUCAAUUUUUUGUCUUUUUCAAUUUUUCGUCUGUUUCGUUCCAAGAAUAUUUAGUAUUUUUAGAAAACUUCUUUCGAAAUUUUAUGAAAAAUUAACAUUUUUAUUUUUCUACGAAAAAUUCAGAAAACAAAAUUGUUAAUUUGCCAUAAAAUUUGAAAAACAAGUUUCGAUAAAAGCUAUUUUUUUUUUUUAAAAAGAAACCAAACAGACAGAAAACUGAAAAUGCGAUUUUUCAUGAAAAAAAGAUUUCUUGAAAAACUUUUUCAUACUUUUCCGACAAACCAAACACCCCCUUAGCUUAAUUAUUUCUACUAUGUUUAUCUUGCAUUAAUAUUUGCAUAUAUACUCAUUUCCAUUACUUUUCCAUUACAAUUCAUAGUUAUCCUAAAUUUAAGGACUUAUUUGAGGCUAUAUAGAGUACAAUACCAAAUUCAUAUUGCAUCAGUUAAAACUACGGGUGUGUUUGGUUCAAAUUCGAAAUCGGCAUCAGAAUCAGAAUAAAAAUAAGCUGAAAACGGAAUCAGAAUGAUUCAUUACCUCAUUCUGUUUGGUUCGCCAUCUGAAUCAGAAUUGAAAUAAACCAUUCCCUUUGUCGGUGUUUGGUUCAAAUAGAUAUUAGAAACGUAAUAAAAUUAAUAUACCAAUUUUAUCUUUAUAAUAUAUUAAUUUAAAUUCAAACUGAAAAUUAAAUAUUAAAAAUUUACGUCAAAAUUUUAAAAUGAUGUCAAAAUUUUAAAUAUAUUUUUUAAAAAAAAUUAAAUUUUGAUUUUUGAACGGAUAAUUCAACUAAAUUUCGAUUUAUUCAAAUUCAAACUUAAAAUUAUAAUUUUAAUUUCAAUUUGAAUCAAUAAAUUUAAUUUAAAUUUUAAAUAAAAUUUGAAUAAAAACUUUAGAUUUUAAAUUUAAAUUUAUAAAUUAGAUUCGAAAUGUUUGAUUGAAUUUUAAUUUUAAUUUAAGUUCAAAUUAAAAGUAAAAUUUAUAAAUAUAAUUUUUAAACUUAAACUUAUGUUUAAAAAAUAAGCUUAAAAAAGUUAAAUCCAAUCCGAACAAACCCAUUCCGCUCGGAUUCAAUUUUUAAUCUAGUCUCCUACGCUAGAUUAAAAACAAAGGGUAAUUGGGAGGAUUCUCAUUCAUCCGAAAAUCGAAAUUGGAAUGAAAACUUCGCAUACCAAAUACGGACAAACGGAUUCAUCAAUUUUGAUUCCGAUCCCAGGGCGAAAAAUGGGCAAACCAAACACACCCUACAUGUAGAGAGUAAAUAUGGGUGGGAAAAAGUGCAAGGAUGGAUCUUGUAAUUUAGCCAAAUUUAAGUAGAUUAGACUUGCUUGAAAUCCAAUUUGAGUCACAAAUAGGGAUGAACAUCUUUGUCUAAAGAGAGUUAUUAAAUAGUUUGAUUUUUGUUAAUAGAGAAUAGGAUAGAUCUCAGUUUAAUUUUUUAUAUUUUUAUUUCUUUAUUUAUUUUUUGUAUAGAAUGGUCCAUCCCUAGUUUACUACUGAUCUUCCUAGCCCCAAACUACUAAUCAAUUUGGUUUAUCAACAACUUGCGGAAACAGCUAUAAUUGGUUGGAUGGACCAGUAUGCUUAAUAAUUUUCUAUCCAUAUUUCUAUUCCAACUAAAUUACUGAUAUCUAAAUAGUAAUAUGUCGUAGUAGAUUUAAAGGGAUAAUUGCUUAUAUACCCUUUGUACGUUUGAAAAUAUUCGAUUUAUUCCUUUUUUUUUCUAAAAUAUCUCUUAUAUGUUCCACCGUUAUUGCAAAAUACCCCCGCAGUUAUCUCCUGUUAAGUUAACUUGAGUUAAACGUGAGUUAAAUAUCUACCACAGUUAAAAAAAAUUAAAAUAUCAAUUUUGCCCUUAACUUAAGGGCAAAUAAGAAAUAUUGGUGACGGUAGAGGGGUAUAUUGGAAAAGACCAAAAGUCAAAGUAGUUUUUUUGCCCCUGACUUUAAAAGCAAAUAAGAAAGUUAGUGAUGGUGGAAGGGUAUAUUUGAAAAGGCAAAAUAGUAAUUUUAUAGAGGUAACAGAGUUAAUUAACAGAUUUUAACUCUAAAAAUAGGUUGGAACGUAGAAAAGAUAUUUUCAAUAUUAGUCUUCUAAGAGGGGUAAAUCGAAAAGUUGGAAACUUUUCAAGGGUAUAUAAGUAAUUGCCCCUUGAAUAAAAGUGUAUAGAACUAAACUUAGAGUCAAGGAUUUAAAUGUCGUGGCACGGAAUCGUGUCGGAAACUUGCCGGCACGGUACGGCACGGUGCGUGCCAAGCCGUGCCGAUGGAUGCCGGUCAAAAAUUUUUGUCUGCCGACACAUAAUAGUAUGAAAUAAUUAUUUUCUUUAGCAACAAAAUAUUUUAACUAUUUAUUAUGUCUUUUUAUCACAUAUUUUGAACUUUAUUGAGAAAAUUACUUACUAAUUUAAAGAAUAGGGGGUUUUGAGCUGUGCCAUCGGUACGGGGUCUGUAUCAUGUCGUUAUCUUGUUGACACGGCACAAUACGGUAGAUACGGUCGUGUUGACGGGCACUUAAAAUCUUGCUAAGAGUAAAUUAAGUGCUAAUUUUUUAGAAUGUUUUUUAUUAGAUUGUUAGUAGUAUGUUGACAUCAUCUUUUUUAAAUGUUUUAUGAUAUAUUUGUUAAGCGUAUUAACAAAUUAUUAGGAGCCUUUGUGGAAUAAAACCAAUGCAUUUCCUAUACAUUAGAUUUUAUCUCACCUCUCUCUCUCUCUCUCUCUCUCUCUCUCUCUCUACAUAUGAUGUGUCCAAUCAUAUGAAUUCAUGAAAGAGGCAAUUGCUUCUCCAUGCCACAUGCAUUUGUACUUUGCUAAGAAGCUCUUUUGUCACUUGUGCUUGGAGGCAAGUUAUAAAAAACACACAUCUUGCUUCUUUUAUGGUAUCUCAUAUAUCUUAACAAGGGCUAGUAUGGUCCCUCCCUCUUAUCUUAAAAAAGGCCAUGCAUAUCAGUUUUAUCAAUGAGUUUUCUCUUUUUAAGUUCAGUCAAAUUCAUGUCUGAGAUUGUAAAUUUGGACUAAUCAUUUUUUUUCACAUGUUGUUUAAUAAAUAUUUCGACUGGAAUUUAAAUUUUAUAAAAUUAUUUCUAAAAUAUUUCCAAAUGGAUUUGAAAAAUUAUUUCAGGAAAAAAAAUUACUUUCUUAUUGGACAGCUAACGCUCUAUAGUUUUUAACUAAAAUCAACUCUCCACAUGACCAAAAUUACUUCAGCAAGAAUUAUUUCUAUAGAAGCUACGCCAAAUAGGCAGGCAUGCAUUUUCUAUUCUUGUUAUAUAAUGUUGCGCUAUCUCUCCUUACAGUGCACAUCACACGGUUUACUUUACAUUCACAUACGAAUUAGCAGACAUGUUAGGUGUGUCUGUACGUGUAAAAUUAGUUUACGAUAUCUAAAAAAAAAAACUCUUACCUUUGUUUGGUUGGGGUUAAGGGGUGGAAUAACCUCUUAACCCCCAUAUUAUUCCCAAACACUUUCAAAAAUGAAUGGGGUUAGCUAACUCCACCUCAAAUGGGCUAUUUCGGAUUAGCUAGCCACAACUAACCCCACAAAACCCCAACCAAAUACUAUUUUCUAUUCAUAAUAAUCCACUAUCCUUCUUAUCCCACCUACUCCAACCAAACACUAUUUUUCACUAUUCUGAACUAACUCCAACUCCCAACUAAACACAAAAAUACUCUAACCCCACUUUAAUCCUGAACUUAACCCUAUCCCUGAAAUAACUAGUUUUUUCUUAACCCCGAAUCAAACGGUAGCUUAACAUUUUCACAAUUAAUUAGUUUUACUAUAGACUAUGUUA